rnacentral:lncRNA from 1 species
GGAUGUUGGUUUUAUUCAGCUGUCACAGGGCUGCCUGCAUUAUGCUGGUUUUGACACAGAUGAUGAUAAUGUUGUUCGACUGCUAGUUUAUGUUCUUAAAGACUAUGACCGCAAAGAAUGGAUACUGAAGCAUAGCGUCGAAACUUCGCAUUUGCUUGGAGGGCGACACAUAGAAUACCUUGAUGAGUACUUCGAUUGGAUUGCAAUUCAUCCAGAAUGUGACUUGAUCUUCUUCACUGUGGCCCAGGAGGAUAUCACAUUCAUGUGCUAUGAUAUGGAUAGUGGACAAGUUAAUGUGCUCUGCAAUCUUGAAGAUAGCCAGCAGGCAUAUUUUCCGUAUGUGCCACUAUAUGAAGAGUUACAAUCGUUGCACAAGUGACGUCUUAUGUGUGCUAUGAUAUGGAUAAUGGACAAGUUAAAGUGAUCUGCAAUCUUGAAGGCGAGCUGCCAUAUUCUCAAUAUGUGCCGCUAUAUGAAGAGCUACAAUCGUUGCACAAGCGAUGUCUUAUUCAUGCUAUGGAGCAGUGGGCAUGGUAUGUCUGCUUGAAUUUGGUCCUCCUUUCUCUGAUGUAUGCAUGUGUUUAAGUUUGGAGCAAUGCUGGUUCGUUCUGGGGGCACUGCAGCUGAUUUCUCUCUCAGACUAGUUAUUCAAAGUUUCAAUGCACCUUCUGUUGUGUGUACUUGUUUUGUCUUGGUAGACCAAUGGUUCUGGACAACGGGAGAUUGUGAUACACUUUGGAUGAUUACAUUAUCACUUCUUUUGGUGCUAUGUUUGCCCUGUCUUUUAAAUAGGUUAUUUUUUUAGCAGAACAUCACGCCACAAUGAUGCUGUUGAUAGGAAGUGUCAUAAUGUUCAUCCUGCUGUUAGAUAACUUUUGACACAAAAUUGCUUCAGAAGACUAGAAAGACAUCCUCUUUAUCUAUGGGUUUUGUUCGCAUAGGUAGGUUUAAAGAGUUUAAAAUAAGCGACACCGGGCACUUACCAUGUUAGUCUUGCCUAUAAUGGUGCACAUACACUCCAGUCCAACACAAUUUUGCUGUGUUAAUAAGAGGUAAUUUGACUUACCACUGAAGGGUUUGCCUAGCGGGACUAUGUUCAACUCUUUCGGAUGAUUGAUGCUGAGAAGGUCAUUAUUGAAACUAAUUUCUUUAGCUGGUCAACCUAUGUACGGCUAGUAUUUCGAGCAGAGCUGCAAUCUUGUUCUUAUGCACAUUCAGGAGCUUAGUAGGGUCUUUUCUUUUCUUGAUUUAGUUCAUGUAAAACAAAAAGGCAAUGUGGCAGCCCACCAAACCGCUAAAUAAUCUUUUCAUACUGGUCCUUUGUGUGUCCUGAUCUCCCAGGUCCUGGUCUUCCUUGGACCCUGUAUUCAGCAAGGUUGUAACCUUGCCAACUUAUCAACAUAAACUUGGUUCUAGAAAAUGAGGAAAUAAGAUUGCACGGGAUCGAAAGCUAAUUUCAGAUAUUGUUCGAUUGAAAGUAAGAGCAAAUCAAAGCUACUGCUGUAAUAGGAUUGUAUCAGGUUGCUGCGCUAAUGAUAUGUGUUCCGUACUUUUCAGUUGUCAGCUAGCCCAGGUAAAGCAAUUGGUACGGUUAGAGAACUAAUGGUGAAACGUUACUUGCAAUACAAGUUCUUUCUGUUAUCAACACAUAUAGUCCAUGGUUAUGAAUAGGUUGACAUUGAAGAAGAAAAGAAGCACAUAGAUGUACAUAGUUUCUCUGAUCCAAAUUCUGGUCAACAAAACAAACAAUUUUAGAGCUAGAAGCCCAACUGGUUUCAGUUUGAGAAAAGGAAUUUGAAAUGACUAUAGAUAUUGUUCUAAAAUAUUGCAACCUCGCCCUACUUUUGUAUGCAUGUUGUCAGUGGUGCUCAAACCUAAUAGGGCCCCCCUGCUGUUUUGUUAUGUUGCGUCUGGUCCAUGCUAAGGGGUAUUUUUUGAUAUAUUACUGUAUAUCUUUUCUUUGGAGUUUAUGAAUAAAUCAAAUAGCACACGCGCCACCCAUAUCAACAUGAAUUAGUGACCCAUGUCUUUGUUAAACUAGAUGAUACCCCGCACGUUGUUGCGGGAAUAUUUUGCAACAUAUUUCAAUGUGAUUCGUUGGAUGAAACAUGAAUAUUUGAAGUAAUAAUAUAAAAGGUUAAAACUGAAAAUACCUAUAAUUUAUUUGUUUGAGUACUAUAUAGUUGUAAAAUGUUUAUUAAACUAGACGGUUCCCCGCGUGUUGCUACUGGAUUUCUAAAGGACAUCUUGAGAUAUUGUAGUAUUAUCUAUGAAGAAAAUUAAAAUCCAGCACUAUAUGAAAAAUAUACAACAAUGACACAAUAGUUGAGAUACAUAUAUGUGAUUUUUUUUCAAAACUAUGAUGAUUUUUAUAGCAAAUUCGAAGUCUAUAUGUCUUCAUGCAAGAAAAUCAAAACUAGCACCCAUCGGCCUCUAGUUGGCCGAAGAGGGGCUCUUCGGCCUGCGCUUGACCGAAGUGGGCUCUUCAGCCUCCCGUUGGCCGAAGAGUACCCAAACUGGGACGAAAAUGACUCUUUGGUCUGCCGUAGGCCGAAGAGUACUCUUUGGUCAACCAUAGGCCGAAGAGUACUCUUUGGGGCCCAAGGCCCAUGCAGCUUCGGCCUCCCAUUAACGUGGAAAGUUGGAGCCCAAGGACUCUUCGGCCUACGGUUGACCAAAGAGUGCUCUUCGGCCUACGACAGACCAAAUAGUCCUUUUCGGCCCAGUUGGGGCACUCUUCGGCCAACGGGAGGCUGAAGAGCCCAAUUCGGUCAACCGUAGGCCGAAGAGCCCCUCUUCGGCCAACUGGAGGCCAAUGGGGUGCUAGUUUUGAUUUUGGUGCGUGAGGACGUAUAAAUUCCGAAUUUGCUACAUAUUCAUUGGAUAUCACUUGAAAGUAGUAUCGCCUAAGACACCAUGAAAGUAAUACGCUACGGACCUUUACAUCAAAGGUCACUGAGGCUCAAAUAAAAAUAUAGUACUCAAACAAAAUUGUUAAGUUUGUAGCUUAAAUAAAUAAAUAUUACUGAUCGAAUGGCUACAUAACACGGUUAUUCUGGAUAACAAUGUAUAUAAAAUUGAUAAAUGGGUAGCAUGUAAUGGAUAGAGGGAGAAAUAAUAGAUUAUAUGUUUUUUUGUACAUGGACAGAUGAACUGGUUGAGAGUUCAGAAGUUAAACAUAGUUUGCAGAUAUAUGUAGAAGAAAGUGGUAGUACUGAAAAAGGAAUAACAAUAGUCUGGUCCGAUGUAGCUGCAGGUUGCCCUAUUUGAUUAUUUGUCCACAUAGGAGUAUAUUGCUUACCAAUCUAGGGAACGGAGUUAUUUUGUUAAUUAUUCUGGGAUGGAGCUGACAUUACUACUUACCUCCUCACAAAAAAAAGGUACUAUUACCCAAUUAGAAGCAUGAAUGAAAAUUAAAACAACGUGUCUAUUUAUAUUUUCAGAGUAACCAUCUGACUCAGGUAGAUCAGUUCUAAAAUGACACCGAAUGUGUGUGGCCCAACAACAUAUGACUUCAAGAAUCUACUGCUAGUCUGUAGCAAGAUUGUAAAAUUAUAUCAAAAGACUAAUUAGACAGUAGCUAGACUUCAUCACCUCUCCAAAGUUGGCCCAUAUACUGGUUCGGUAUGGAUAAGAAAACCCUCGGACUGAAAGAAAAUAAAUGGGAAAUUAAAAAAAAACUUUUGGCUGCCAUGUAUGAGAAAGGCAAGCGGAAGCCAUUGUCAUCAACACCAAAGAGUUUCACCUAAAAAUGCAAGCAAGUGUUUUGCAAGUCAUAAUCGUUCAACAAAGUAUGGAGAAAAAAAGUAGCUUGUAGUAUGACAGAUGAGGAAUGCCUUUGGGCUGACCGGGGCUAUUAUGGCAGGCAGGUGCUUCACUCGGUUUCGGGAGUUGCCGGCGCCUCCAUACGCGAGCAACAAAUAUCUCAAAGUGUUAAAGCGUCUCGAACAGUGGCGGUAAAAAACACGCGCGUGGGAAAAGUGGGUCAUAGCGCGCGCGGGGAGCGGGGCGGAAAAUUCAGGCGUGCGGGAAAGGAUCACGCGCGUGAAAAAGCACCCGUGCGCGCGCUAGUUUUGGCGCAGCGCCCGCCACGAGCCCUCCCACCGUUGUCCGCCUCGCCACGCGCUGAUAGGAACCGGGUUCCUACCAGGACGAGUUCUCAUAUUAUAGGGGUGGAAGGAGGGUUGGCGCGACGGAUGACGCGACCGACGGCGCUGGGGCGCCGUGAUCGCGAGAGAGGGAGAGGGCGCAUGGUGCGGCUAGGGUUAGGUUUCCCGGCUCCUUAUGGAAGCCGAGCAAAUAUGAUUGCUUCUGCUUAACUCCAAAACGAGUCUUUACAUGAGUUUAUAUAAUCCUCGAAAUAAGAUAAUCGGGCUAAGCCCCUAAAACGAUAAGAUAACUUGGGCCAGGCCCCUAAUUGUCUGCACCAGUGGGCCUCCUGGUGCUAAACAGUAGGCCAGUCAUAACAUCUCUCCCUGCCUGCGUAAACAGCUCGUCCUCGAGCUGAAAGUCUGGAAAGUGCUUGCCAAACUCGUCGAGGAGCUCCCAAGUGGCCUCCUCCUCAAGAAGGCCUUGCCAGUGGAUCAACAAGCGCCAAACACCGUGACUCUGCUGGGCUUUCAACACCUUCGCUGGACCGGGAAGUAGACGGCCCUCGGGGAUCGGAGGGAGAUCCGGCGUAGCCGUUGGUGGCUCGCCGUGGAAAGGCUUCAACAAGCCCACAUGGAAGACGUCGUGGAUGCGAGCGCCAGAUGGCAGCUGAAGGCGGUAGGCGACGUUGCUGCUGCGCUCCAGCGCCGGAAAUGGCCCCGCAUAGCGGGGACCUAGUUUGCGCUUAGAGCGCGGGUCCAGUAACUCCGUAGUGCUGUGGAGUAGACACAUCUACACCAAGUCUCCCACCGCAUACUCUGCCUCAUGGUGAUGUGCAUCGUAGUACUUCUUGGACAGCUGCUGGACCUGGAGAAGACGCUGGCACACCUCGGCAAGGAUCUCAUCCCAACUGCGGAGAAGCUCGACCGCCGCCUCAGUCUAGGCAGUCUCUGGCUGAAAUGGCAGGAUGGGUGGCGGAGGGCGACCAUAGACCACCUCGAAGGGCGUGGCCCACAGGGCGGAGUGGUAGGAGGUGCUGUAGCAGUACUCCGCCCAAGAGAGCCAGUCCACCCAAGCCCAUGGCCGAUCAACUGUAACACAACUUAAGUACAUAGCAAUCACCUUAUUGACCAUCUCGGACUAGCUGUCCAUCUGGGGGUGGAAUGCCGUACUGAGGCGCAGCUUCACGCCCGCCAUCCGGAAAAGAUCGCGCCAUACAUGGUUAGUGAACACCGGAUCACGGUUGCUGACGAUCGAAGAGGGGAACCUGUGGAGGCGGACGAUGUCAUCGAAGAAGGCCCGUGCGACGGAGGUGGCGGUGUAGGGAUGGCCGAGCAUGAUGAAGUGUGCAUACUUGGAGAAGCGGUCGACCACCGUAAGGAUGACGGACUUGCCGCCCACCUUAGGAAGGCCCUUGAUGAAGUCCAUGGAGAUGUUGGCCCAGAUCUGAGGUGGCACCUCAAGGGGCUGUAACAGUCCCGCCGGCUGUAGUGUCUCCGUCUUAUUGCGCUAACACGUCACACAAGACCGCACCCAGUCUCGUACUAGCGCGCGGUCGCCGGGGAUGUAGAAAUCUUCCCGGAUACGAUGAAGGGUCUUCUGCACCCCCUCAUGGCCGACCGAGUGAUACAGCAACAGGGCCAGUUGGUGGAGGUCGCCGUGAUCCGACACGAAGAGCCGACGCCUGUGCAGAAGCAAGCCGUCGUCCAGGCGCCACGGUUCCUCCAGGUCGCCAUUCGCGAGGCGCUGAUGAAGGAGCUGUGCGUCCAGGGUGCUCGCGAUGACACGGCGGAUGUCGUCGAUGAAGGCAAAGGAGGGCCCCGAGCGGAUGCAGAGCACCGUCCCCACGGUGUCGACGGCGUCCGAGCCGGAGUUGGCGUCACGGCAGGACAACGCGCCUACCACGGUGAUGAGGCGACCCGGGCGGUACAUGACUGUAAAGUUGAAGCCGAACAACUUGAUGAUCCACUGAUGCCGCGACACGGUGGAGAGGCGCUGGUCCAACAAGAACUUGAGGCUGUAGUGAUCCGUGUGAACACGGAACGGUCACCCCCAUAGGUAUGGUCGCCAAUGGUGCACAACCUGUACCAAGCCGAUGAGCUCUCUCUCUCAUAGGCCGCGAGCUUGUGAUGACUCGUAGAGAAAGGCUUGCUGAAGAAGGCGAGCGACUUGUCGCCCUGAUGAAGGACGGCGCCAAACCCCACGCCCGAGGCAUCGCAGUCCACCAAGAACAACUUGUCGAAGUCAGGCAUCUGGAGGACCAGCUCCGUAGUGAGAGCCUGCUUGAGGGUCUGAAAUGCCUCGGUUGCCUCAGUAUCCCAGGAGAAGGCAUCGCGAUGCAACAUGCACGUGAGCGGAGCCGCGAUGAGGCCGGACUCCCGGAUGAACUUCCGGUAGUAGCCUGCGAGGCCCAAGAAACCGUGAAGGGCCCGCGGCGAGUCCGGCGUCGGCCAAGCCGCGACAGCUGCCACCUUGUCGGCAUCCAUCGUGACACCCUCCGCCGAGAUGACGUGGCCGAGGUAGGCAACCGAUGUUGUGUCGAAUGAGCCCUUCGAGCGAUUGAGGUGCAGAUGGUGCGCUCGAAGCUCGUUAAAGACGAUGGCCACGUGCUAUAGGUGCUCCACCCACAAUGAGCUGUAGAUAAGAAUGUCAUCAAAGAAAACGUGCACAAACCGACGCAAGUAGGGGCGGAGGACAUCGUUCAUCAAAGCCUGAAAUGUCGCCGGGGCAUUGGAGAGGCGAAAAUGCAUCACCAAAAAUUCGAAGUCGCCGUGGUGAGUGCGAAAGGCCAUCUUCUCGACAUCAUCCGGAUGCAUCCGCACUAGGUGAUAUCUGAUACGUCUCCAACGUAUCUAUAAUUUAUGAAGCAUUCAUGCUAUUUUAUUAUCUGUUUUGAAUGAUUACGGGCUUUAUUAUACACUUAUAUAUUACUUUUGGGACUAACCUAUUAACCGGAGGCCCAGCCCAUAUUGUUGUUUUAUUGUCUAUUUCAGUGUUUCGAAGAAAAGGAAUAUCAAACGGAGUCCAAACGGAAUGAAACCUUCGGCAGCGUGAUUUUUGGAACAAACGUGGCCCAGGAAACUUGGAGUGCAAGCCAGGGGAGCAUCGAGGAAGCCACGAGAUAGGGGGGCGUGCCCACCCCCUAGGCGCACCCUCCCCUCUCGUGGGCCCCUCGAGGCUCCCCCGACCGACUUCUUUCUCCUAUAUAAGUCCACAUACCCUAAAACAAUCAAAUAUCAAGAUAGAUCGGGAGUUCCGCCGCCGCAAGCCUCUGUGGCCACCAAAAACCUCUCGGGAGCCCGUUCCGGCACCCUGCCGGAGGGGGAACCCCUCACCGGUGGCCAUCUUCAUCAUCCCGAUGCUAUCCAUGAUGAGGAGGGAGUAGUUCACCCUCGGGGCUGAGGGUAUGUACCAGUAGCUAUGUGUUUGAUCUCUCUCUCUCUCUCUGUCGUGUUCUCUCUAUGGCACAAUCUUGAUGUAUCGCGAGCUUUGCUAUUAUAGUUUGAUCUUAUGAUGUUUCUCCCCCCCCCCCUCUACUCUCUUGUGAUGAAUUGAGUUUUCAUCUUGAAGUUAUCUUAUUGGAUUGAGUCUUUAAUGAUUUGAGAACACUUGAUGUAUGUCUUGCCGUGUUUAUCUGUGGUGACAAUGGGAUAUCACGUGCCACUUGAUGUAUGUUUUGGUGAUCAACUUGCGGGAUUCGCCCAUGAACCUAUGCAUAGGGGUUGGCACAUGUUUUCGUCUUGACUCUCCAGUAGAAACUUUGGGGCACUCUUUGAAGUACUUUGUGUUGGUUGGAUAGAUGAAUCUGAGAUUGUGUGAUGCAUAUCGUAUAAUCAUGCCCGCGGAUGCUUGAGGUGACAAUGGAGUAUCUAGGUGACAUUAGGGUUUUGGUUGAUUUGUAACUUAAGGUGUUAUUCUAGUACGAACUCUUGAAUAGAUCGAUCCGAAAGAAUAACUGUGAGGUGGUUUCGUACCCUACCAUAAUCUCUUCGUUUGUUCUCCGCUAUUAGUGGCUUUGGAGUGACUCUUUGUUGCAUGUUGAGGGAUUGUUAUAUGAUCUAUCUAUGUUAUUAUUGUUGAGAGAACUUGCACUAGUGAAAGUAUGAACCCUAUGACUUGUUUCCUAGCAUUGCAAUACCGUUUACGCUCACUUUUAACAUUAGUUACCUUGAUGUUUUUAUAUUUUCAGAUUACAAAAACCUUUAUCUACUAUCCAUAUUGCACUUGUAUCACCAUCUCUUUGCCGAACUAGUGCACCUAUACAAUUUACCAUUGUAUUGGGUGUGUUGGGGACACAAGAGACUCUUUGUUAUUUGGUUGCAGGGUUGUUUGAGAGAGAUCAUCUUCAUCCUACGCCUCCCAUGGAUUGAUAAACCUUAGGUCAUCCACUUGAGGAAAAUUUGCUACUGUCCUACAAACCUGUGCACUUGCAGGCCCAACAACAUCUACAAGAAGAAGGUUGUGUAGUAGACAUCAAGCUCUUUUCUGGAGCCGUUACCGGGGAGGUGAGUGCUUGAAGGUAUAUCUUUAGAUCUUGCAAUCGAAUCUUUUUGUUUCUUGUUUUAUCACUAGUUUAGUCUAUAAAAGAAAACUACAAAAAAAUGGAGUUAAGUUUGUCUCAUACGCUUCAUCUUUUUAAUAUCUUUCGUGAGUAUGCUGAAAAGGAAAAUUGUGCUCAAGUGCUUAGAAGAAGAAUUACAUAGAAUGCUUGGCAUGAAAUAUGUGAAUGAUGAGCAUGAUUGCAAUGAUGUUAGUAUGAAUUCCUUGAAUAUCCAUGAUGCUAAUGAUAUGCAAAUCCACAAGCUUGGGGAAGCUAUGUUUGAUGAAUAUGAUAUAUUUUGUCCCCCAAGCUUUGAUGAGCAAAUUUAUUUUGAUGAUAGCAUGCCUCCUAUUUAUGAUGAUUAUAUUGAUGAAAGUGGGUUUGGAAGAGUGUCAACUUUAGAAAGUAGUGAUCCCACUAUUUUGGAGGAUGUUGAAUCUUAUUGUGAUAAACAUGAAAGUGGAUUUGGAAGAGUGUCAACUUUAUUUAGUGAUGAUUCCACUAUUUCGGAAGAGGUUCCAAUUGAUUAUGAGAACAAAGUUGCUAUCUAUGAUGAUUAUUGUGAUGACUUGUAUGCUAUUAGGAAUAAUGAUAACGAUGAAACUUGUCCUCAUGAUUUUAGUUUUCAAUUGGAUUAUGCCUCACAUGAUAAUUAUUUUGUUGAGUUUACUCCCACUAUUCCGAAUGAGAAGAAUUUUGCUUAUGCGGAGAGUAGUAAAUUUUCUAUGCUUAUAGGUCAUGAAAAGAAUGCUUUAGGUGUUGGUUAUAUUGUUGAAUUCAUUCAUGAUCCUACUAAAAAUUAUUAUGAGGGAGGAACAUAUGCUUGUAGGAAUUGCAAUAAUAUCAAGUUUCCUCUCUAUGUGCUUAAAAUCUUGAAGCUAUACUUGUUUUACCUUCUAUGCUAGUUGAUUAUUGUUUCCAUAAGUUGUUUUCUCACAAAAUCCCUAUGCAUAGGAAGUGGGUUAGACUUAAAUGUGCUAGUCAUAUGCUUCAUGAUGCUCCUGUUAUGUUUCAAUUCUUAUCUUUUAUGUGAGCAUCAUUGUCAUCAUCAUGCCUAGUUAAAAAGGCAUUAAAGAAAAGCGCUUGUUGGAAGACAACCCAAUAUUUAUCCUUACUGGUUUUGGUGUGUUCACAUGAUUAUGCUACCGUAGUAAUCAUGUUUUAUAGUUUUUGUUUCAAUAAAGUGCCAAGUAAGACCUUUAGGAUAGCUUACGGUGAUAGUUGCGUUGAUCCUGCUGAAAAUCAGAAACUUUUGCACCCAGUAAAUUAGUUUUGUUAAUUCACAUAAACGUGAUUUUUAUCUGCUUCUUUUUGCUAAGGAUUGGUACAGAAAUUUAUUAGGACUUCCUAAUUUGGUAGGAUUUGUGGAGUUCCAUAAGUAUACGUUUUAUACAGAUUACUACAUACUGUUCUGUUUUUGACAGAUUCUGUUUUCUAUGUGUUGUUUGCUUAUUUUGAUGAAUCUGUGAGUAGUAUCGGAGGGUAUGAACCAUAGGUAAGUUGGAAUACAGUAGGUAUUACACCAAUAUGAAUUUAUAAUGAGUUCAUUACAGUACCUAAGUGGUGGUUUUAUUUUCUUAUACUAAUGGAGCUUACGAGUUUUCUGUUGAGUUUUGUGUUGUGGAGUUUUCAAGUUUUGGGUAAAGAUUCGAUGGACUAUGGAAUAAGGAGUGGCAAUAGCCUAAGCUUGGGGAUUCCCAAGGCACCCCAAGGUAAUAUUAAAGGACAACCAAGAGCCUAAGCUUGGGGAUGCCCCGGAUGAUAUCCCCUCUUUCGUCUUCGUUCAUCGGUAACUUUACUUGGAGCUAUAUUUUUAUUCACCACAUGAUAUGUGUUUUGCUUGGAGCGUCAUUUUCCUGUGUUAGUAUUUGCUUACUGUUAUUUAUAAUAGUGUUUUGCAUCUUUAUUUUCAACAGAAAUGUCAAGGAUAGCCUUUGUCAUGCUUAUUUUGCUAGUAUACAUGUUGCUGUUUGAAAACAAAGUUUACCGCUGUUGCAAACAUUCCCUAGAAAAGUCAGAGAAUGGUAUAAUGUUGAAACUUUUUGCAUAUUGAGAUAUGAUAAAUUUAUUACAGUGGGAAUUUUCUUUCAUAAUUUUUGGAGUUAGGCAAGUAUUGAUACUCUUGCAUUCUUUACAGACUAUACUAUUUUGGCAGAUUGCUGUUAUGGUUGCAUUGUUUGCAUAUGUUUGCUUGUUUAAUGAUUCUAUUUGAGGAUAUGAGUAUUAAAUAUGCAGAGGCAUUUAGUAUGCAAUGUUGAAUAAUAAUUUUAGUGAUUUGUUAAAGUAGAAAAUGAUAAGGUUUUGCAUUGGUUCAUACUAACCUAUCUCAUGAGUUCUUGUUGAGUUUGGUGUGGAUGAAGCUUUUGAUAAAAAGAGAAACCAUGAUAUGAGAGGAAUUAAAGAGACACAAAGGUUCAAGCUUGGGUAUGCCCAAGGCACCCCAAGAUAAUAUUUCAAGAAGUCUCAAGCAUAUAAGCUUGGGGAUUCCCUGGUAGGCAUCCCACCUUUCUUCUUCAAUAACUAUCGGUUAGUAUCGGUUGAGCCUAAGUUUUUGCUUCUUCACUUGAGUUGUGCUAUCCUUGCAAUGUCAUUUUUUUUUGUUUUGUUUGCUGUUUGAAGAAAAUACCAAGAUCUGAAAUUCUUAAAUGAGAGAGAGUCUUCACAUAGUUACAUAAUUAUUUAGCUACUCAUUGUUCUUCACUUAUACCUUGUUGGAGUAGUUUGUCAUUUACUCGUGUGCUUCACUUAUAUCCUAUUAGUAAAUUGUUGAAUGAGUUGACUGUCAUAAAUUUGAAAUUAUAUAUGUUUCAUUUUCUUAUCCCAUGGGGAGUAAUGACUUCACAUUUAAGAAGUAGAGGUUGUAAAUUUAUUGAAGGUUAGCAAGCAUUGUAUUGGUCAUUUGAACAAUUCAAGAAAGAAUAUUGAAGGAAGAGAGAUUUCACAUAUAAAUAUACUAUCCUAGACAUCUUUUAUAAUUGUGAGCACUCAUUAAGUAUGACGUGCUAAAGAGUUGAUGUUGGACAAGGAAGACAACAUAAUGGGUUAUGUUUUCGCACAUCUCAGUUAAAGUAUAUUGUCAUGGAUCAUUCAAACAUGUUGAGCUUGCCUUUCCCCCUCAUGCUAGCCAAAAUUCCUUGCACCAAGUAGAGAUACUACUUGUGCUUCCAAAUAUCCUUAAACCCAGUUUUGCCAUGAGAGUCCACCAUACCUACCUAUGGAUUGAGUAAGAUCCUUCAAGUAAGUUGUCAUUGGUGCAAGCAAUAAAAAUUGCUCUCUAAAUAUGUGUGAUCUUUUGGUGUGAAGAAAAUAGCUUUAUACGAUCUUGAUAUGGAAGCAAUAAAAGCGACGGACUGCAUAAUAAAGGUCCAUAUACAAGUGGCAAUAUAAAGCGACGUUCAUUGGCAUUAAGAUUUUGUGCAUCCAACCCUAAAAGCGCAUGACAACCUCUGCUUCCCUCUGUGAAGGGCCUAUCUUUUACUUUAUGUCUUUUACUUUAUGAAAGAGUCAAGGUGAUCUUCACCUUUCCCUUUUUCAUUUUAUCCGUUGGCAAUCACCUCGUGUUAGAAAGAUCCUGAUAUAUAUAUCCAAUUGGAUGUAAGUUAGCAUGAACUAUUAUUGUUGACAUCACCCAAAGGUGAGUACGUUGGGAGGCAACACUAUAAGCCCCUAUCUUUCUCAGUGUCCGAUUAAAACUCCAUAAUCAUUAGUAUUGCGUGAGUGUUAGCAAUUGUAGAAGACUAUAUGAUAGUUGAGUAUGUGGAGUUUGCUCAAUCAAAGCUCUGACAUAGACCCUUCCUGAAAAUAAGAUGAAUUGCAAUUGUUUGAUGACUGAGAACAUAGUUUGCUAGUUUUCAAGAAAGUUUAUGGUCUAUGCUUUCAACAUGUGAAUUGCUUGUUACUUGUUCGUGAGAAGUUUUUUGAGAUGAACUACUCUUAUGACAUAUAAUGAUGCUAGAAAAGGUGAUUGAAAGUAUCAUUGAUCAAACUUGUGCACCUUCUAGCAUUCACACUUCAUAAAUUCUUUCUUUUAUCAUUUACCUACUCAAGGACGAGCAGGAAUUAAGCUUGGGGAUGCUGAUACGUCUCCAACGUAUCUAUAAUUUAUGAAGCAUUCAUGCUAUUUUAUUAUCUGUUUUGAAUGAUUACAUGCUUUAUUAUAGACUUUUAUAUUACUUUUGGGACUAACCUAUUAACCGGAGGCCCAGCCCAUAUUGCUGUUUUAUUGUCUAUUUUAGUGUUUCGAAGAAAAGGAAUAUCAAAUGGAGUCCAAACGGAAUGAAACCUUCGACAGCGUGAUUUUUGGAACGAACGUGACCCAAGAAACUUGUGUGCAAGCCAGGGGAGCAUCGAGGAAGCCACGAGAUAGGGGGCGCGCCCACCCCCCUGGGCGCGCCCUCCCCUCUCGUUGGCCCCUCGAGGCUCCCCCGACCGACUUCUUUCGCCUAUAUAAGUCCACAUACCCUAAAACCAUCGAAUAUCAAGAUAGAUCGGGAGUUCCGCCGCCGCAAGCCUCUGUAGCCACCAAAAACCUCUCGGGAGCCCGUUCCAUCACCCUGCCGGAGGGGGAACCCCUCACCGGUGGCCAUUUUCAUCAUCCCGAUGCUAUCCAUGACGAGGAGGAAGUAGUUCACCCUCGGGGCUGAGGGUAUGUACCAGUAGCUAUGUGUUUGAUCUCUCUCUCUCGUGUUCUCUCUAUGGCACGAUCGUGAUGUAUCGCGAGCUUUGCUAUUAUAGUUGGAUCUUAUGAUGUUUCUCCCCCCUCUACUCUCUUGUGAUGAAUUGAGAUUUCCUCUUGAAGUUAUCUUAUCGGAUUGAGUCUUUAAUGAUUUGAGAACACUUGAUGUAUGUCUUGCCGUUACGUGCCACUUGAUGUAUGUUUUGGUGAUCAACUUGCGGGUUCCGCCCAUGAACGUAUGCAUAGGGGUUGGCACAUGUUUUCGUCUUGACUCUCCAGUUGAAACUUUGGGGCACCCUUUGAAGUACUUUGUGUUGGUUGGAUAGAUGAAUCUGAGAUUGUGUGAUGCAUAUCGUAUAAUCAUGCCACAGAUACUUGAGGUGACAAUGAAGUAUCUAGGUGACAUUAGGGUUUUGGUUGAUUUGUGUCUUAAGGUGUUAUUCUAGUACGAACUCUUGAAUAGAUCGAUCUGAAACAAUAACUUUGAGGUGGUUUCGUACCCUACGAUAAUCUCUUCGUUUGUUCUCCGCUAUUAGUGGCUUUGGAGUGACUCUUUGUUGCAAGUUGAGGGAUUGUUAUAUGAUCUAUCUAUGUCAUUAUCGUUGAGAGAACUUGCACUAGUGAAAGUAUGAACCCUAUGCCUUGUUUCCUAGCAUUGCAAUACCGUUUACGCUCACUUUUAUCAUUAGUUACCUUGCUGUUUUUAUAUUUUCAGAUUACAUAAAUCUUUAUCUACUAUCCAUAUUGCACUUGUAUCACCAUCUCUUCGCCGAACUAGUGCACCUAUACAAUUUACCAUUGUAUUGGGUGUGUUGGGGACACAAGAGACCCUUUGUUAUUUGGUUGCAAGGUUGCUUGAGAGAGACCAUCUUCAUCCUACGCCUCCCACGGAUUGAUAAACCUUAGGUCAUCCACUUGAGGGAAAUUUGCUACUGUCCUACAAACCUGUGCACUUGCAGGCCCAACAACGUCUACAAGAAGAAGGUUGUGUAGUAGACAUCAAUAUCCCGAGCGGAGGUCGAGCUUGGUGAAGAAACGCACCCCAUGUAGCUCGUGUUGGAAAUAUGCCCUAGAGGCAAUAGUAGAAUGAUUAUUAUUAUAUUUCCUUGUUCAUGAUAAUUGUCUAUUAUUCAUGCUAUAAUUGUAUUGACCGGAAACAGUAAUACAUGUGUGAAUACAUGACCACAACAUGUCCCUAGUGAGCCUCUAGUUGACUAGCUCGUUAAUCAACAGAUGGUCAUGUUUUCCUGACUAUGGACACUGGAUGUCAUUGAUAACGGGAUCACAUCAUUAGGAGAAUGAUGUGAUGGACAAGACACAAUCCUAAGCAUAGCACAAGAUCGUGUAGUUCGUUUGCUAAAGCUUUUCUAAUGUGGAAGGGAACUGCAAGUGCAACUCCCGGAUACUGUAGGAAUGCUUUGGGUGUAUCAAACAUCACAACGUAACUGGGUGUACCGAAAGUGUCUGUUGGGUUGGCACGAAUCAAGACUGGGAUUUGUCACUCCGUAUGACGGAGAGGUAUCUCUAGGCCCACUCAGUAAUGCAUCAUCAUAAUGAGCUCAAUGUGACUAAGUAGUUGGUCACGGGAUCAUGCAUUACAGAAUGAGUAAAGUGACUUGCCGGUAACGAGAUUGAACGAGGUAUUGGGAUACCGACGAUCGAAUCUCGGGCAAGUAACGUACCGAUUGACAAAGGGAAUUGUGUAUGGGAUUACUUGAAUCAUCGACGUCGUGGUUCAUCCGAUGAGAUCAUCGUGGAACAUGUGGGAGCCAACAUGGGUAUCCAGAUCCCGUUGGUAGUUAUUGGCCGGAGAGCUGUCUUGGUCAUGUCUGUAUGAUUCCCGAACGUAUAGGGUCUACACACUUAAGGUUCGAUGACGCUAGGGUUAUAGGGAAGGUUUGUAUGUAGUUACCGAAUGUUGUUCUGAGUCCCAAAUGAGACCCCGGAUGUCACGAGGAGUUCCAGAAUAGUCAAGAGGUAUUUAUAUAUGGGAAGUCAUCAUACGGUCACCGGAAGUAUUCGGGGGUUUAUCGAUAUUGUACCUGGACCACCGAAGGGGUUCUGGGGGUCCACCUGCCCCGGAGGGACCUUAUGGUCUGUAUGUGGAAGGGAACUAGCCCCAAGUGGGCUGGGCGCCACCCCCUAGGGCCCAUGCGCCUAGGGUUGGGGGGACCCUAAAGGGGGCGCCCCGCUUGGCUUGGGGGGCAAGCCCCCUCCCCUUGGUCGCCGCCCUCCCUCUAGAUCUCAUCUAGAGGGGCCGCCCCCCUUCCCCCUUCACCCUAUAAAUAGAGGGGAGGAGGGAGGGCGGCUGCACCACAUCCAAGGCGCAACCCUCCCCCUCUCCAACACCUCUCCUCCUCCGUUUGAGCUUGGCAAAGCCCUGCCGGAGAACCGCUGCUCCACCACCACCACGCUGUCGUGCUGCUACUGGAGCCUUCUUCCUCAACCUCUCCCUCCUCUUUGCUGGAUCAAGGCGCGAAGACGUCACCGGGCUGCACGUGUGUUGAACGUGGAGGUGCCAUUGUUUGGCGCUUAGAUCGGAAUCCACCGCGAUCUGAAUCGCUACGAGUACGACUCCUUCAUCCGUGUUCUUGUAACGCUUCCAUGUCGCGAUCUUAAAUGGUAUGAAGAUGCACUCCCCUCUCUCCCGUUGCUAGUUUCUCCAUAGAUUGAACUUGGUGAUGCAUAGAAAAUUUCAAUUUCUGCAACGAUCCCCAACAGCUCGUCCAGGAGCUCAUCAAUGACCGGAAUGGGAAAUUUGUCCUUGAGCGACUUGGCAUUAAGAGCAUGAUAGUUGAUGCAGAAGCGCCAUGUGUCGUCCGCCUUACGAACAAGGAGAACCCGCACUGAAAACGGCGAGGUCGAGAUCUGGAUGAUGCCCAGGGCAAGCUUGACCGCGUACUGCCGCUCCAGCUCAUCCUUCUGCAGCUGGCGGUAGCGGUAUGGACGUGCCACCAUAGGAGUUGUGCCAGGGAGCAGGAGAAUGCAGUGGUCAUACACUAAUCAUGCACGCAAACAUGUACAAUCAAGAUCAGGGACUCACGGGAAGAUAUCACAACACAACUCUAAAAACAUAAAUAAGUCAUACAAGCAUCAUAAUACAAGCCAGGGGCCUCGAGGGCUCGAAUACAAGUGCUCGAUCAUAGACGAGUCAGCGGAAGCAACAAUAUCUGAGUACAGACAUAAGUUAAACAAGUAUGCCUUAAGAAGGCUAGCACAAACUGGGAUACAGAUCGAAAGAGGCGCAGGCCUCCUGCCUGGGAUCCUCCUAAACUACUCCUGGUCGUCGUCAGCAGGCUGCACGUAGUAGUAGGCACCUCCAGUGUAGUAGUCGUCGUCGACGGUGGCGUCUAGCUCCUGGGCUCCAAAGUCUGGUUGCGGCAUCCGGAAAGAAGAGGAAAAUGGGGAAAAGAGGGAGCAAAGCAACCAUGAGUACUCAUCCAAAGUACUCGCAAGCAAGGAGCUACACUACAUAUGCAUGGGUAUAUGUGUAAGUAGUUAAAAUCAGUGGACUGAACUGCCGAAUGCCAGAAUAAGAGGGGGAUAGCUAGUCCUAUCGAAGACUACGCUUUUGGCAGCCUCCGUCUUGCAGCAUGUAGAAGAGAGUAGAUUGAAGUCCUCCAAGUAGCAUCGCAUAGCAUAAUCCUACCCGACGAUCCUCCCCUCGUCACCCUGUGGAAAAGCGAUCACCGGGUUGUCUGUGGAACUUGUCUGGGUGUGUUUUAUUAAGUAUCCGGUUCUAGUUGUCAUAAGGUCAAGGUACAACUCCGGGUCGUCCUUUUACCGAGGAACACAACUAUUUGAAUAGAUUAACUUCCCUGCAGGGGUGCACCACAUAACCCAACAUGCUCGAUCCCAUUUGGCCGGACACACUUUCCUGGGUUAUGCCCGGCCUCGGAAGAUCAACACGUCGCAGCCCCACCUAGGAACAACAGAGAGGUCAGCCCGCCGGUCUAAAUCCUAUGCACGCAGGGGUCUGGGCCCAUCGCCCAUUGCACACCUGCAUGUUGCGAGGGCGGCCGGAAGCAGACCUAGCAACCUCCAUUACAAAGGAAGUCACGUUACGCGGUCCAAUCCGGCGCGUGCCGCUCCGUCACUGAUGUCAAGAAGGCUUCGGCUGAUACCACGACGUCGAGUGCCCAUAUCUUUCCCGCGUAGUUGGUUAGUGCGUAUAGGCCAGUGGCCAGACUCAGAUCAAAUACCAAGAUCUCGUUAAGCGUGUUAUUAUGAAGUAACCGCGAACGCCGAUUAGGGCCAGGCCCACCUCUCGCCUAGCUGGUCUCAGCCUGCCCUGUCGCUUCGCCACAAAGAUCCACACAGAGGGCCGUCGGGACAAAGGUCCUUUCAGCCCCCAAUCCGUGAAUCACUCGCGAGUACUCUUCGAGCGGACCCGACUUUAGUCACCAUCUGAAGUAUGUAUAUAUGUAUAGCAUAUACCCGUGAUCACCUCCCAAGUGAUCACGGCCCGAUAGUAUAGCAAGGCAGACUGACAAGAAUAUAGGGCCAAUGAUGAUAAACUAAGCAUUUAGGAUUGCGGGUAAGGUAUGAAUGACUAUAGCAACAAUGAUAGGCUAUGCAAUAGAAUAGGAGUAACCGAACAGUAACAUGCUACACUACUCUAAUGCAAGCAGUAUAGAGAAGAAUAUGCGAUAUCUGGUGAUCAAGGGGGGGGGGCUUGCUUGGUUGCUCUGGCAAGAAGGAGGGGUCGUCAACCCCGUAGUCGAACUGGGCAGCAGCAGCGUCGGUCUCGUAGUCUACCAAAGAGAAGAGGGGGAAGAAACAAUGAAUAACAUGCAAACAGAUGCAUAUCGAUGCAUAACAAGACAAGUAACGAUGCUAGGUGUGCCCAAUCGCGGUAGUAGGUGAUACCUACGAAGGGGAAAACAUCUGGGAAAGUAUUCCCGGUGUUUCGCGUUUUCGGACAGAUGAACCGGAGGGGGAAAGUUGCGUGUUUGCUAUGCUAGGGAUGUGUGGCGGACAAACGGGCUGCGCAUCCGGAUCCGUCUCGUUGUUCUGAGCAACUUUGAUGUAGAAAGUAUUUUCAUCUGAGCUACAGUUUAUUUUAUAUGAGUUUUAAAAGAUUUAAAUUAUUUUAGUAUUAAUUUAAAUAUUUUAAUUCAACAUUAUCCAGAAUAGUGUUUGCUGACGUCAUCAUGAUGUCAGCAUGAUGUCAUCAGUCAACAGAGGUGUUGACUGGUCAACUAACGUGUGGGUCCCGUAUGUCAUACUCUGUUUAGGUUAAUCAGGAUUAGCUAAUCUAAUUACUGUUUAAUUAAACUAACUAGUUAAUUAGAUUAAUUAAGCAGGAUUAAUUAACUUAAUUAAUUCACUAAUUAAUUAAUUAUUAAUUGUAUUAAUUCAUUUUUUUAAAUUUUGAUUUCUUUUAUUUUAUAAAAAAACAUUCUGGGGCUGGGCCCGUUUGUCAUAGGCCCUAGGGAGGCCUAACGGGUUUGGGCGCGGGCGCCCGACAGGGGCGAGAUCGUGCGCGGCGUCACCCGAGCGAGAGCGCCAGCGAGCAGGGCGGCCGCGACUCGGGCGGGGCCGGGCGGAGGACGACGAGGGAAGGAUGGCUGGGGGCGCGACCGCCGGUGCAAGCAGCGGGCGGAGGAGGCGGCGACGUCAGGAGGGUAGCAGCGGGCAGAGCGCGCUCGGGCGACGACCAAGCCACGGUGGAUGCACGCUCGGGUGGCGCAGGGGCACGGCCAGGGGCGCGCGUGUGCGUGUUGGUGCAAGGCAGAGCCAACGUGAGUGGAACGCCAGCCAUGGUAACUUCUACCGCGGGACGACAACGACGAGCACAUCGGUCAGAGGAUGUAGAUCAAGGGGAAGGCAGAGGGAAAAAGCGCAUCGGCUCACAUCAUUGACGGGGAGAGGCUCGGGGAGGCGCGGGAUGCAGUGAAGCCGUCGGAACCCACAAUGAACGGCGGUGGAGAUGAGCUCGAUGGCGAGCGUACGGGCUGUCCCGGCUCGAUUCAGAGCAUGUAGGCGAAUGAGACGAUGAUGGAGAAGCUCCUGGAUGCCUUGGAGCGAUGAGGGGAAGCCGAUGGCCACCGGAUCGACGAGGUGGCGAUGAUGGUGGCGGCGGGCGGUGGUGCGGCAGGCGCGGCGCGAGGUUGGUCGGAGGCGCGGUAGCCGUGGUGCGGGAGAGGUCCGGGAAGGCGAGGACGGCGCCUGAUGCUUGCUGCCGCGGUGGAGGUCCAGGGGGUGAAGCAGGAUCGAACGGAGGAAGGAGAGGCUGCGAGGGAGUCGGGCAUGAGGCGCCUCGCCUCUGGUCUUGAUGUGCAGCGGCACGAGGGGCGAGGUGAGGGAUCGAGCGAGGAGUGGGGAGGGGGGAAUCAGGGGGAGUGGGUGCGGUUAGGGUUUCAGGGUGACUCAGGGGGUUAUAGGGGGCGGCUGGGCCGGCCUGGUUGGCCCGAUGGCUAGCUGGGCCGAGGCCCAGCGAGGGAGGGGGGUUUCCCUUUCUUUUGUCUUUAUUAUACUUUCAUUUAAUUUUCCUUUUCUAUUUUCUGUUUUACUUUAGUUCCACUUUUAUUUUAGUUUUGUAAACUAUAAAAGCAAUCCCUAAUUUAGUGUUAGUAAAUUGGCUACUGCCACAUAAGUUUGGGCAACUAAAUAAAAUAGUUUAAUAUUUUAUUUUGUAAAAGGCAUUUAACUAAUUGUUUUUGUUACUGUUUAAAAUAUUUUUAGAGUAUUAAAACCUUUCUAAAAGUGUGGUUUCCCCACCAUACUUUCCUAUGCAUUAUUUGGCUCACCACGAACAUUUUAGUUUUAAUAUUUGAAAACUUUUAUUGUUUGCUUGAUUUUGAAUUUGAAUUUGUAUCGAUUUCAAACUAUCGCGAGAUUAGUAACAGUAAUCGAGGUGACGUGGCAUCAUUAGCAGAUGGUUACUGUAGCUUAAUUAUCCGGGCGUCACAAUUCUCCUCCACUACAAGAAAUCUCGUCCUGAGAUUUAAGCGGUGGAGUAAGGGGGAAAGUGCUGGCAGCGAAAACCUAACGAGUCUUCUCGAUCUUGGCUGCCCUUUCUAAGAGGUUGAUCCCUUUCGUUGAUGUCUUCAUCUCUCUGCUUCAAGUCACCAUGAUCAAUUUUUCAUCCUUUCUUCGGGAUCUCCAUCGUCCUACGUACGUGACCAAGGGGGAAAAAACUCCGGAAGAACGCAUCUCCACAAAGCUGGGCAUCUGACGGUGAACUCGAUGAGAAAUACACAAGGUACCCCACGAGUUGUAUUUCAGUGAAUUCGUUGAGUGCAAUAUACGAUGGUACCAAAGUUUUAAACGGGUAGGAAAUGAUUCAAUGACUAGACAGAAGCUGGAAUGGGGUUUGCACAACGAGAAUAACAUGGUGUUUGAUUCCAGAAUGAUUAAUGGUAUAGAAUUUAGCUUGUGAAUCACAUACGAAGCCAGGUGCAAAGGAUACAUUAGAAUCCGGGUUGUAAAGGAGAGUCAGGUUUCAAUCAAGUGGACUUGUGGGUUAUGGGCCCACCAUGUGGGUUGAAAGUAGGAAGGGUGGUGACAUCUUGCACAGCCGCGACAGGGAGGCUUGUCAGUGAAUAGCUUGUCAGCUAUGCUGGCAACAAUGUCGGUACCAAGGACGGGGGACGAAGAGAACCUUUUUCCUACUCAUUGAACGAGGCGUACCAGUAGGCAAAGUUCUCGUCCAUCGCUGGUUAUCGGAAUGUCAUCAAUCAAAAGUAACAGGGUCUUUCUGACAGAAUUGUACAUUGAGGUGUUUACAAAAGUAGGAGUAUAUUACUGCUUAGAUCAUAUAGAUCACAAGAAAGGUUAAACCAAACAAUGGAAAGGAAAAUAUGAUUAUCAGGUUUAAGCAGAACAAUGGAAAGGAAAAUGUGUUAAAACACAUAUUUCAAGGGUAUAUCCUUUCCAAGGACAAGCAGAGCAUGAUAUCCAUGACAUGAUAUAAUGUAGAAAACUCUUUAGGUAAGGGGAGAGAAAUUUCAUGCCAUUACCCAUACAACGGUGUUUGGAUAAUUGAUAAAGAAAGUUUAGCAUUGUGCUUCAAAUGUUCUUAUUGAAAUUCGGAGUCCCACAAACAUGCUUCAAGAUAGCAUUGACAUGGUCUUCAGGGAAAGGUCAGACUUUGGAUUCACAAAGGAUCCAUCAGGAACAACUUGUAGAAUAAGUCUUACAAUUUCCUCAUGGAAGAAUCGAUAGCCUUGCUGACAAGGAAACUAUAACAAUAGGUCCUCUGGCCAGGUGUACUAGGCAUGACACCUCCUUACUGGGUCAUAUAAAUACCAAUGUUAUAACUCUUGGAAAUAUGUUUCAACAUCAUAUCUGACCGAGAUUCAGAUCUGAUUGGUGUCAGGACACCUCGGACUCAGGAUGCCUGAGAAGAAGAGGUGCAACACAAUUGACGAGACGCCAUUAUAUGAAUCUUGGGAAAUGAACUAUGGAAGCGAGUUCCAGACAAGGGUUCACCAUUAAUCAAGGAGAGGUGAGGAGGGGACUGAUUGACUCAGCGACAAUCCAUUGAGAUUUCCAAAAACAUGGAUUUCCACAACUAUGUGAACAAGAAGAUAAUAUUAGCUAGAUCAAAUGACUUAAUGGUGUAUGCUCGAGGAAAACAUACACAGUUAAACAUUGGUUGAAAUGUGCACCCGAAAUAUGGGCUAGGUAGCACGAUCAAUGUUCGAAUGAUGAUUCAAUAAGCCAUAGAAGUAGAAUGAAACUAUAGACCAAUAACUUCAAGGCAAUAGGGUUGCCAGAAGUUUAGAAUUUACACAUCACAUACCAUUUGUUGGUAUUCCGGUUAGAAACAACACGGGGACCAAGAAAUGAAUGGUGAUGUUAAUAAGAAUCACUUGUAUCAAGAAUUCUUAAGGGUGGUGAAUUUCCCACGACAUUCUUGACAUAAAAGGUGGUAAUAUUCCAAGGUAAAGAAGAACAAUGCUCGGUAGCAAGGAACUCAAGGUAUAACACAAAACACGAACAAGUUUGUGUUGGAGGGAAGGCAGUAGAGUGGUUGAUGAUAACACAAAUCAUCGAGGCAAGGAUGGUAUUUCUCAUCAUGAAUCCGAUUGAUAUCCUAGAAGAGCUCAUAAGGUUGAUGAUGAUCACGACACAUUUGUCGAGAGGUUACACGAAGAUGUAAUUGAUCGACGAAGACAUCAAGUCAAACAAAUGAUGAAGCGAGAGGUUAUUGGAACCACGGUUAGGACAAAAACUCCAAAGCAAGCUUGUUGUCCAAAGCAAAAUGAUAUGAUGAGGAGAGAUCGACGUAAGCCUAGCUCAUCAUCAAAAAUUAUGCUCUGGGAAGAGGACCAGGUAGCACAGUUAAAAUCGGCACGACAAGGAUAUAGCCAAACAGGCUAGGAAUAACGUGAUUGAGUUCAAACUCGUAAGUAAUGAAGGUUACCAAGAGUUUCUUAAUCGCGAUGUGGACUUGGGUCAGUUAUCGGUGUCUUUGAGUGUUAAAUAACUCAGAGUCCGUGAAAAAUUGGAAUCAAUGAGAAUGUAGCACUUGAUGAAGGACUCGUAAUAAGUUAUGCAGUUCCGUGAUAAUCUUGAGAUACCAGGGGGGUAAUACUCGAGGACAAUUCAAAGUAGAGGUUGGACUGGGGUAUUACUCUACAGAAGACAAGUGGUUAAACUUGCACGAGAAAUGGUAUUUAAAGGAGAACAUGGUCGGAGACCUCGAUCAUAAAUGAUCGAACCACAGAUAUAGGAUGAACUUAUAACGAGGGGGUAACUAUUUUUACGAGCAGCUUCCAUGAUAAGUUAUACAUCGUGUCCAUGGGCAUGAACGCAAGGUUCAAGGUCGACUCCCACUUCUUUAAUGUAUAACCUCCCAUUCACUUCUCGCUUUGAUAAAGGCAUUAGUGUUGAAAGUUUUACCUGGUGUAAUACCAGAUGAGUAUGACUCGUGAAAACUUUCGAGUUCACACAUAUUAAGGAAGGCAUAGGUUCAACACGUCAGGGUAUCGUGGAAGCAUAAACCACAAGCUUCAAUAGUAAAUAACACAAGCUCGAUAGUAGAGCUUGGUUGACAAAAACAGAGGAUACAAUUUACCUAAGGCAUUAUGUAUCAGGGAAAGAACUUCUCGAGGUUUUUGUAUAUGAAGGACACUGUCGGAUGCUAUUUCAACAAAGGAUCCAACGGUCCUUAGUGAAACUGAUGUGAGUAUCAGCACACAACCAGAGGUAGAAACAAUGCGAAGGCAUUGGAUUAUAGAAGCAACUGACUAAUUCAAAUCUCACAUGUAAAGGAAUUAUGAUUACCAAAUCAAAGGAUUAGAAGCAAACGCUCUGAUUAAGGAUGGAUAAGUUGAGUAAGCAUAGGGGUAAAAUCAACAACAAUUUGAUUGGUCGAGAUCAAGAUCAUGUUUAAAGUGACGUCUGAGUCGAAAAGAUAAUUUAAAAGGAUCAAAUGAUGAUUGCGUGCAUUCACACUCAUGUUGAAUCAAUAGGAUCAAAAUAACGGUGCCUAAGGAUACUAACGAAUAUUGCCAGACAUAUGGAAAGCAUCCACAAUGCAAGCAGACAAGUAUUGCAGAGCAAUAAGCUACUAAGGAUUUUUGGAGGAUCAAAUAGUAUUUCGAAGACCAUUGUGGAACACAUGAACAACGGUGAAAGAACGGAUACUCGGUAAGCAUGAGGAAUUAUCCAUAGGGGGUAUUCAUGUGGCAAAGAUCUGCAAUGCAAUGGCUCAAAAGAUUCUUAAAAGUCGAAGAACAAUUCGAUGCAUCUUGUAAUAACAAGAGCAGCUAGGGAUGAAUGUAAGAAUGGCAAGGAUAAUAUGAUUUAUCGGUGGUAGGGAAUUGCAAAAGAAGUGGGCACAAAGUCUCGAGAGAACUUCAGCGAGUAUCUUCGGAAUCUUCUAGAGUAGCAAACGAUCAUCGGGAGUGAGGGGCUCUCCGGGAGAAAGUAUUUUGAAGAACCUAAAGUUAGUUUUGUUUUUAGCAAAAUCAUUUAACCCGAAUAGAAGAGAGAUCAGAGUCCUAGAGUAUAGGUCGAGGAAUAAAAGAUCCUAAUACGACCCAAUGGCGACGUGAGCCCGUAAGACUCACAGCCAUGUUAGUAAAAGUUUUGCAAUGUCUAGACUAGACUUCGGCCAAGGAGUGUGGAAGGGGGAUUCCUACAGGCAGUCGGCUCUGAUACCAACUUGUGAUGCCCCCGAUUCAAUCGUACACUAAUCAUGCACGCAGACGUGUACGGUCAAGAUCAGGCACUCACGGGAAGAUAUCACAACACAACUCUAAAAACAUAAAUAAGUCAUACAAGCAUCAUAAUACAAGCCAGGGGCCUCGAGGGCUCGAAUACAAGUGCUCGAUCAUAGACGAGUCAGCGGAAGCAACAAUAUCUGAGUACAGACAUAAGUUAAACAAGUAUGCCUUAAGAAGGCUAGCACAAACUGGGAUACAGAUCGAAAGAGGCGCAGGCCUCCUGCCUGGGAUCCUUCUAAACUACUCCUGGUCGUCGUCAGCAGGCUGCACGUAGUAGUAGGCACCUCCAGUGUAGUAGUCGUCAACGACGGUGGCGUCUAGCUCCUGGGCUCCAAAGUCUGGUUGCGGCAUCCGGAAAGAAGAGGAAAAUGGAGAAAAGAGGGAGCAAAGCAACCACGAGUACUCAUCCAAAGUACUCGCAAGCAAGGAGCUACACUACAUAUGCAUGGGUAUAUGUGUAAGUAGGCAAAAUCAGUGGACUGGACUGCAGAAUGCCAGAAUAAGAGGGGGAUAGCUAGUCCUAUUGAAGACUACGCUUCUGGCAGCCUCCGUCUUGCAGCAUGUAGAAGAGAGUAGAUUGAAGUCCUCCAAGUAGCAUCGCAUAGCAUAAUCCUACCCGGCGAUCCUCCCCUCGUCGCCCUGUGGAAAAGCGAUCACCGGGUUGUCUGUGGAACUUGUCUGGGUGUGUUUAUUAAGUAUCCGGUUCUAGUUGUCAUAAGGUCAAGGUACAACUCUGGGUCGUCCUUUUACCGAGGAACACGGCUAUUCGAAUGGAUUAACUUCCCUGUAGGGGUGCACCACAUAACCCAACACGCUCGAUCCCAUUUGGUCGGACACACUUUCCUGGGUCAUGCCCGGCCUCGGAAUAUCAACACGUCGCAGCCCCACCUCUCUAUUGUGCCUAGGUGGGGCUAGGAUUUAGACCAGCAGCGUCGGUCUAAAUCCUAUGCGCGCAGGGGUCUGGGCCCAUUGCCCAUUGCACACCUGCACGUUGCGAGGGCGGCCGGAAGCAGAGCUAGCAACCUCCAUUACAAAGGAAGUCACGUUACGCGGUCCAAUCCGGCGCGCGCCGCUCCAUCGCUGACGUCAAGAAGGCUUCGGCUGAUACCACGACGUCGAGUGCCCAUAUCUUUCCCGCGUAGUUGGUUAGUGCGUAUAGGCCAGUGGCCAGACUCAGAUCAAAUACCAAGAUCUCGUUAAGCAUGUUAUUAUGAAGUAACCGCGAACACUGACUAGGGCCAGGCCCACCUCUCGCCUAGGUGGUCUCCACCUGCCCUGUUGCUUCGCCACAAAGAUCCACACAGAGGGCCAUCGGGACAAAGGUCCUUUCAGCCCCCAAUCCGUGAAUCACUCGCGAGUACUCUUCGAGCGGACCCGACUUUAGUCACCAUCUGAAGUAUGUAUAUAUGUAUAAUAUAUACCCGUGAUCACCUCCCAAGUGAUCACGACCCGAUAGUAUAGCAAGGCAGACUGACAAGAAUAUAGGGCCAAUGAUGAUAAACUAGCAUCCUAUACUAAGCAUUUAGGAUUGCGGGUAAGGUAUCAAUGACUAUAGCAACAAUGACAAGCUAUGCAACAAAAUAGGAGUAACCGAACAGUAACAUGCUACACUACUCUAAUGCAAGCAGUAUAGAGAAGAAUAGGCGAUAUCUGGUGAUCAAGGGGGGGCUUGCCUGGUUGCUCUGGCAAGAAGGAGGGGUCGUCAACUCUGUAGUCGAACUGGGCAGCAGCAGCGUCGGUCUCGUAGUCUACCGAAGAGAAGAGAGGGAAGAAAAAAUGAAUAACAUGCAAACAGAUGCAUAUCGAUGCAUGACAAGACAAGUAAUGAUGCUAGGUGUGCCCAAUCGCGGUAGUAGGUGAUACCGACGAAGGGGGAAAACAUACGGGAAAGUAUUCCCGGUGUUUCGCAUUUUCGGACAGAUGAACCGGAGGGGGAAAGUUGUGUGUUUGCUAUGCUAGGGAUGUGUGGCGGACAAAUGGGUUGCGUAUACGGAUCCGUCUCGUUGUUCUGAGCAACUUUCAUGUAGAAAGUAUUGUCAUCUGAGCUACGGUUUAUUUUAUAUGAGUUUUAAAAAAUUUAAAUUAUUUUAGGAUUAAUUUAAAUAUUUUAAUUCAACGUUAUCCAGAACAGUGUUUGCUGACGUCACCAUGACGUCAGCAUGACAUCAUCAGUUAACAGAGGUGUUGACUGGUCAACUAACGUGUGGGUCCCGUAUGUCAUACUCUGUUUAGGUUAAUCACGAUUAGCUAAUCUAGUUACUGUUUAAUUAAACUAACUAGUUAAUUAGAUUAAUUAAGCAGGAUUAAUUAACUUAAUUAAUUCACUAAUUAAUGAAUGAUUAGUUUUAUAAAUUCAUUUUUUAAAAUUUUGUUUUCUUUUAUUUUAUAAAAAAAACAUUCUGGGGCUGGGCCCGUUUGUCUUAGGCCCUAGGGAGGCCUAACGGGUUUGGGCGCGGGUGCGCGAACGGGCGCGGGCGCUCGACAGGGGCGAGAUCGUGCGCGGCGUCACCCGAGCAAGAGCGCCGGCGAGCAGGGCGGCCGCGACUCGGGCGGGGCCGGACGGAGGACGACGAGGGAAGGGUGGUUGGGGGCGCGACCGCCGGCGCAAGCAGCGGGCGGAGGAGGCAGCGACGUCAGGCGGGUAGCAGCGGGCAGAGCGCGCUCGGGCGACGGCCAAGCCACGGUGGAUGCACGCUCGGGCGGCGCAGGGGCACAGCCAGGGGUGCGCGUGUGCGUGUUGGAGCAAGGCAGAGCCAACGUGAGUGGAGCGCCGGCCAUGGUGACUUCUACCGCGGGACGACAACGACGAGCACAUCGGCCAGAGGAUGUAGAUCAAGGGGAAGGCAGAGGGGAAAAGCGCGUCGGCUCACAUCGUUGACGGGGAGAGGCUCGGGGAGGCGCGGGAUGCAGUGAAGCCGUCGGAACCCACAACGAACGGCGGUGGAGAUGAGCUCGAUGGCGAGCGUACGGGCUGUCCCGGCUCGAUUCAGAGCACGUAGGCGAACUAGACGACGAUGGCGAAGCUCCUGGACGCCUUGGAGCGAUGAGGGGAAGCCGGUGGCCACCGGAUCGACGAGGUGGCGACGAUGGUGGCGGCGGGCGGUGGUGCUGCAGGCGCGGCGCGAGGUUGGUCGGAGGCGCGGUAGCCGUGGUGCGGGAAAGGUCCGAGAAGGCGAGGACGGCGCCUGAUGCUUGCUGCCGCGGUGGAGGUCCAGGGGGUGAAGCAGGACCGAACGGAGGAAGGAGUGGCUGCGAGGGGGUCGGGCAUGAGGCGCCUCGCCUCUGGUCUCGAUGUGCGGCGGCGCGAGGGGGGAGGUGANNNNNNNNNNNNNNNNNNNNNNNNNNNNNNNNNNNNNNNNNNNNNNNNNNNNNNNNNNNNNNNNNNNNNNNNNNNNNNNNNNNNNNNNNNNNNNNNNNNNNNNNNNNNNNNNNNNNNNNNNNNNNNNNNNNNNNNNNNNNNNNNNNNNNNNNNNNNNNNNNNNNNNNNNNNNNNNNNNNNNNNNNNNNNNNNNNNNNNNNNNNNNNNNNNNNNNNNNNNNNNNNNNNNNNNNNNNNNNNNNNNNNNNNNNNNNNNNNNNNNNNAUCGGGGGGAGUGGGUGCGGUUAGGGUUUCGGGGUGACUCAGGGGGUUAUAGGGGGCGGCUGGGCCGGCCUGGUUGGCCCGAUGGCUAGCUCGGCCGAGGCCCAGCGAGGGAGGGGGGGGGGUUUCUCUUUCUUUUAUCUUUAUUUUACUUUUGUUUAAUUUUCCUUUUCUGUUUUUUGUUUUACUUUAGUUCCACUUUUAUUUUAGUUUUGUAAACUAUAAAAGCAGUCCCUAAUUUAGUGUUAGUAAGUAGGCUACUGCCACAUAAGUUUGGGCAACUAAAUAAAAUAGUUUAAUAUUUUAUUUUGUAAAAGGCAUUUAAGUAAUUGUUUUUAUUACUGUUUAAAAUAUUUUUAGAGUAUUAAAACCUUUCUAAAAGUGUGGUUUCCCCACCAUACUUUCCUAUGCAUUAUUUAGCUCACCCCGAACAUUUUAGUUUUAAUAUUUGAAAACUUUUGUUGUUUGCUUGAUUUUGAAUUUGAAUUUGAAUCGAUUUCAAGCUAACGCGAGAUUAGUAACAGUAAUCGAGGCGACGUGGCAUCAUUAGCAGAUGGUUACUGUAGCUUAAUUAUCCGGGCAUCACACCCUUCACCCUAUAAAUAGAGGGGAGGAGGGAGGGCAGCUGCACCACAUCCAAGGCGCAACCCUCCCCCUCUCCAACACCUCUCCUCCUCCGUUUGAGCUUGGCAAAGCCCUGCCGGAGAACCGCUGCUCCACCACCACCACGCUGUCGUGCUGUGCUGGAGCCUUCUUCCUCAACCCCUCCCUCCUCCUUCCUGGAUCAAGGCGCGAAGACGUCACCGGGCUGCACGUGUGUUGAACGCGGAGGUGCCAUUGUUUAGCGCUUAGAUCGGAAUCCACCGCGAUCUGAAUCUCUACGAGUAUGACUCCUUCAUCCGCGUUCUUGUAACGCUUCCGUGUCGCGAUCUUCAAUGGUAUGAAGAUGCACUCCCCUCUCUCCCGUUGCUAGUUUCUCCGUAGAUUGAACUUGGUGAUGCGUAGAAAAUUUUAAUUUCUGCAACGAUCCCCAACAGCUCGUCCAGGAGCUCAUCGAUGACCGGAAUGGGAAAUUUGUCCUUGAGCGACUUGGCAUUAAGAGCACGAUAGUUGAUGUAGAAGCGCCAUGUGUCGUCCGCCUUACGAACGAGGAGAACCGGCACUGAAAACGGCGAGGUCGAGAUCUGGAUGAUGCCCAGGGCAAGCUUGACCGUGCACUGCUGCUCCAGCUCGUCCUUCUGCAGCUGGCGGUAGUGGUAUGGACGGGCCGCCAUAGGAUCUAUGCUAGGGAGCAGGUGAAUGCAGUGGUCGUAGACUCGGGCUGGCGGAAGUCAUGCCGCCACGAGCGGUCUUGAAGGGGCCUACCAUGUAGAGCCCCCAGACCAUAAAGGGCUAGGUGAUCAGGAUGGUUUGCAGUGCUGAAGCCGGCUGGUGGUUGCGCCUUGCCGAAGCGUUGGCAUCCCUCGCACUUGAGGACGAGCGACUUGGCAUCUUUGAGGGCCGUGGGCCAGUAGAAACCAUGGCGGAAGGCCUUGGCCACCAGGGAUCUGGAGGCCGCGUGGUGCCCGCACUCACCCUGAUGUAUGUCGAGGAGGAUCUCUAUGCCCUUGUCUUGCUCGACACAGCACUGGAACACGCCUGUCGCGCUGCGCUUAACGAGCUCGUUGUUGAUGAUGCUAUAGGUGGACGCCCGGUGUUGCACUUGCCGGGCCUCGGUCUUGUCCAUGGGGAGUACUCCGUUCUCCAGGAACGCUAAGAUGGUCUAGGCCCAUGACAGAGCCGUCACCACUAUGAAGACCGCCACCAGGACGGCUCCUGGGGCGGCAGCCCUCGAGCCGGAGGUGGCAGCCCCCGGGUCAGGGAUGACGGCGGCCGAGUUGAGCAUGGUGGUUUAUGGGCCGGGUUCGGCAGCCUCCGGGAUGGGAUCAGAAGUCCCCGGGCCGGGAUCGACAGCCCCCGGGUCCGUGUUGGGGAUAGUGAUACGUCUCCAAUGUAUCUAUAAUUUUUGAUUGCUCCAUGCUACUCUAUCUACUGUUUUGGACUAUAUUGGGCUUUAGUUUCCACUUUUAUAUUAUUUUUGGGACUAACCUAUUAACCGGAGGCCCAUCCUAGAAUUGCUAUUUUUUUUGCCUUUUUCAGUGUUUCGAAGAAACAAAAUAUCAAACGGAGUCCAAACGGAAUGAAACCUUCGGGAACGUGAUUUUCUCAUCAGAUAAGACCCAGGAGACUUGGAACCUCCGUCAAGAAAGCCACUAGGCGGUCACGAGGGGGGGCACCCCCCUGGAGCAAUCAAAGGAGCCAAAACCCUAAUUCCACCGCCGCAACCUUCUGUAUCCACGAGAUCCCAUCUUGGGGCCUGUUCCGGAGCUCCACCGGAGGGGGCAUCCACCACAAAGGGCUUCUACAUCAACACCAUAGCCCCUCCGAUGAAGUGUGAGUAGUUUACUUCAGACCUUCGGGUCCAUAACUAGUAGCUAGAUGGCUUCUUCUCUCUUUUUGGAUCUCAAUACAAUGUUCUCCCCCUCUCUCGUGGAGAUCUAUUCAAUGUAAUCUUCUUUUUUUGCGGUGUGUUUGUUGAGACCGAUGAAUUGUGGGUUUAUGAUCCAUUAUUAUCUAUGGAAAAUAUUUGAUUCUUCUCUGAAUUCUUUUAUGUAUGAUUGAGUUAUCUUUGCAAGUCUCUUUGAAUUAUCCUUUUUGGUUUGGCCAACUAGAUUGGUAGUUCUUGCAAUUGUAGAAGUGCAUAGCUUUGGGUUCAAUCUUGCGGUGUCCUUUCCCAGUGACAGAAGGGGCAGCAAGGCACAUAUUGUAUUGUUGCCAUCGAGGAUAACAAGAUGGUUUUUUUUAUCAUAUUGCAUGAAUUUAUCCCUCUACAUCAUGUAAUCUUGCUUAAGGUGUUACUCUCUUUUUAACUUAAUACUCUAGAUGCAUGCUGGAUAGCGGUCGAUGAGUGGAGUAAUAGUAGUAGAUGCAGAAUCGUUUCGAUCUACUUGUCUUGGACGUGAUGCCUAUAUACAUGAUCAUUGCCUAGAUAUACUAAUAACUAUGCUCAGUUCUGUCAAUUUCUCAACAGUAAUUUGUUCACCCACCGUAGAAUACUUAUGCUCUUGAGAGAAGCCACUAGUGAAACCUAUGGCCCCCGGGUCUAUUCUCAUCAUAUCAAUCUCUAUCACUUUAUUUACUUGCUUUGCUUUUACUUUGCCUUUUACUUUUCACUUUGCAUCUAUCUAUCAAAAAUACCAAAAAUAUUAUUUAUCAUCUCUAUCAGAUCUCACCCUCGUAAGUGACCGUGAAGGGAUUGACAACCCCUAAUCACGUUGGUUGCGAGUAGCUAUCGUUUUGUGUAGGUACGAGGGACUUGUUCGUGGUCUCCUACUGGAUUGAUACCUUGGUUCUCAAAAACUGAGGGAAAUACUUACGCUACUUUGCUGCAUCAUCCUCUCCUCUUCGGGGAAAUCCAACGCAGUGCUCAAGAGGUAGCAAGAAGAAUUUCUGGCGCCGUUGCCGGGGAGGCUCACACAAGCAAGUCAACUAUACCAAGUACCCAUCGCAAUCCCUAUCUCUCGCAUUACAUUAUUUGCCAUUUGCCUCUCGUUUUCCUCUCCCCCACUUCACCCUUGCCGUUUUCUUCGCUCUCUCUUUUUCGUUCGCCUUCUUCCCGUAUGUAUCUUUGUUUGUGUUUCCUUGUGCCUUCUAUAUGCUUGCAUCUUUGCUUGCUAAAAAUCUAUUGAUAUGGAUCCACUUAAAGUGUUCUACUUGGAUCAUCUUCGAUCCUUAUGUCCUCGUGCUGAAACCCCAACUAGCCUAGUUGAUGGGAAAUCUUUAGAUGAGCAUGCUCAUUUUGUGCGUCAUCGUUUAUCUGAAAAAGGGAGACUCUUACGGUAUGAUAUAAAUAGUUUGCUAUGCUAUGCUUGGAAUCUUUGUGAAAUGUGUGAUUUUAGUUGUUGCUCUAAGAACCCUAAAAAACACCUUCCCUACCUAUGUGAGUUCAAUGAUAAUGAAAUCUUAUCUUCUUAUGCAAAGGGUGUUUAUAGUUACUAUGAUAUCGAACAAAUUGAAGAAUUUGUCGUUUUUAAGGGUGCUCAUGAAGUUGCUUCUUUGAUUGAAAAGUAUGAUUUUACUCUCAACAAAUCUGAAAAUUCCAUCAUACUUAAAUAUUGCAAUGAAAACCUUGCUCAUAAUGUCUAUGUCCAAGAAUUUAAAAAUGAUCAUUGCUUUGGAAGACAAUAAUGAUAUGCAUGAUUCUAUAGAUAAUGAUGAUUCGGAUGAUUUGAUUGAAAUAUCCCUUGAUGAACAUGAUGCUUUCUAUUCUUGUGGCCAUGAAGCCAAUAUUUAUGAAGACGAAUUUGCUAUAGUUCCUUAUGUUAAAAAUGAGAUCGUUGCUAUUGCACCCAUGCUUGAUAGCUCCCUCAACGAAAAGCAUGAUUUAAAUGAUUUUACUAUAAAUUCUCUUGAUGUCAAUUGUGCUAAUAAUAUGCAAAACCCUAAGAUUGGGGAUGCUAGUUUUGCUAUGUCUACUACUUGUUGCAAUGAUCAUGAAUGGGGUGAUUCUUCUUAUGAUCUUGAAAAUUUAUUUAAUCCCCAUGAUGAAUAUGAGAUUGAUAAUAUUGUUUGCAAUAAUAUUGAAAGUGGGUUUGGAAGAGUGUCAACUCUAGAUCCCACAUAUUUGGAGAAUAUUCAAUCUUAUGAAAUUUUUGAUAAAAGUGGGUUUGGAGAGGUCAUGACAUUAGUUAAUGUUAAUCCCACUAUUUUGGAAGAGUGUCAACUUUGCAUGCAUGUGGAUCGUGUUGAAAAUAUUUUAUGUGAUAGAUAUUUUGUUGAAUUUGCUUAUGAUACCACAUGUAAUUAUUAUGAGAGAGGAAAAUAUGGUCGUAGAAAUUUUCAUGAUAAUAAAUUACCUCUCGUUAUGUUGAGAUUGCUAUUGUUUCUUUCCGCCUCCUUGCAUAUGCUAGUUUUUGUUUGCCUUGAUAAUUUGUUUGCCUAUAAGAUGCCUAUGCAUAGGAAGUAUGUUAGACUUAGAUGUGUUUAUCACGUGUUUUAUGAUGCUCUCUUUGUGCUUCAAUUCUUGUCUUUAUUGUGAGCAUCAUUAAAAUAUCAAUGCCUAGCUAGGGGCAUUAAACGAUAGCGCUUGUUGGGAGGCAACCCAAUUUUAUUUUGUGUUUUUUGUUUUUGCUUCUGUUUAGGAAAAAAUAAUGCAUCUAGCCUCUGUUUGUAUGUGGUUUUAUCUUUUAAUUAGUGUUUGUGCCAAGUAGAACCUAUAGGAUAACCUACGAUGAUAGUUGAUUUGAUUCUGCUGAAAAACAGAAACUUUGCACGCACGAAUAUAGUUAUGUUAAAUCACAGGAACGUGCUUUUGCGUUGAUUAUUUUGGCUGCUGUUCAAUUAACAAAUUGUCCAGGACUUCCUAUUUUGGUAGAAUUGUUAGAGUUCCAGAAGUUUGCGUUAGUUACAGAUUGCUACAGACUGUUCUGUUUUUGACAGAUUCUGUUUUACGUGUGUUGUUUGCUUAUUUUGAUGAAUCUAUGGCUAAUAAAAUAGUUUAUAAUCCAUAGAGAAGUUGGAAUACAGUAGGUUUAACACCAAUAUAAAUAAAUAAUGAGUUCAUUAUAGUACCUUUAAGUAGUCUUUUUUUUUCUUUCUCUAACGGAGCUCACGAGAUUUCUGUUGAGUUUUGUGUUGUGAAGUUUUCAAGUUUUGGGUGAAUUCUUUUGAUGGAUUAUGGAACAAGGAGUGGCAAGAGCCUAAGCUUGGGGAUGCCCAUGGCACCCCCAAGAUAAUCCAAGGGCACCAAAAAGUCAAAGCUUGGGGAUGCCCCGGAAGGCAUCCCCUCUUUCGUCCACUUCCAUCGGUAAUUUACUUGGAGCUAUAUUUUUGUUCACCACAUGAUAUGUGUUUUGCUUGGAGCGUCUUGUAUUAUUUGCGUCUUUGCUUGUUAGUCUACCACAAUCAUCCUUGCUGUACACACCUAUGGAGAGAGCCAUAUAUGAAUUGUAAUUUGUUAGAAUACUCUAUGUGCUUCACUUAUAUCUUUUGAGCUCGAUAGUUUUGCUCAUAGUGCUUCACUUAUAUCUUUUGAGCGUGAUAAUUUUUUGCUCUAGUGCUUCACUUAUAUCUUUUAGAGCACGGUGGUGGAUUUGUUUUAAAGAAACUAUUGAUAUCUCAUGCUUCACUUAGAUUAUUUUGAGAGUCGUUAAUAGCAUGGUAAUUCGCUUAAUGUUAAUAUACUUGGUGUUCAAGAUAUGUGAAACUUUCUUUUGAGUGAAUUGAAUACUAAGAUAAGUUUGAUGCUUGAUAAUUGUUUUGAGAUAUGGAGGUGAUAAUAUCAAAGUCGUUCUAGUUGGGUAAUUAUGAAUUUGAGAAAUACUUGUGUCGAAUUUUGCAAGUCCCGUAGCAUGCACGUAUGGUUAAAGUUGUGUAACAAAUUUGAACAUGAAGUGUACCUGGCUUGUGCAUCCUUAUGAGUGCGGUCGGGGACGAGCGAUGGUCUUUUCCUACCAAUCUAUCCCCCUAGGAUCAUGCGCGUAGUACUUGAUUUUUGACGACUUCUAAAUUUUUGCAAUAAGUAUAUGAGUUCUUCUGACUAAUGUUGAGUCCAUGUGUUAUACGCACUCUCACCUUUCCGCCUUUGCUAGCCUCUUCGGUACCGUGCAUUGCCCUUUAUCACCUUGAGAGUUGGUGCAAACUUCGCUGGUGCAUCCAAACCCCGUGAUACGAUAUGCUCUAUCACACAUAAACCUCCUUAUAUCUUCCUCAAAACAGCCACCAUACCUACCUAUUAUGGCAUUUCCAUAGCCAUUCCGAGAUAUAUUGCCAUGCAACUUCCACCAUCAUCAUCAUGACAUACAUUACUUUUAUCAUAUUGCCAUUGCAUGAUCAUGUAGUUGACAUCGUAUUUGUGGCAAGGCCACCAUGCAUUAUUUUCCAUACAUGUCACUCUUGAUUCAUUGCACCAUCAUGGUACACCGCCAGAGGCAUUCAUAUAGAGUCAUAUCUUGUUCUAAGUUUCGAGUUGUAAUCCUUAUGUUGUAAUCAAUAGAAGUGUGAUGAUCAUCAUUAUUAGAGCAUUGCCUAAAAAAAAGAAAGUCCAAAAUAAAAAAAGGAAAGGCCCAAAAAAAGGGCAAUGCUACUAUCUCUUUUUUUCCACAUGUGUGCUUCAAAGUAGCACCUUGUUCUUCAUGUAGUGACUCUCAUAUAUUGUGCUUCAAAGUAGCACCUUGUUCUUCAUGUAGUGAGUCUCAUAUAUUAUGCUUCAAAGUAGCACCUUGUUCUUCAUGUAGUGAGUCUCAUAAGUUGUAUUUUUAUACUAGUGGGAAUUUUUAAUUAUAGAACUUGGCUUGUAUAUUCCUACGAUGGGCUUCCUCAAAUGCCCUAGGUCUUCAUGAGCAAGCAAGUUGGAUGCACACCCACUAGUUUUCUUUUGUUGAGCAUUCAUAGCUCUAGUGCAUCCGUUGCAUGGCAAUCUCUACUCCUCAUGUUGACAUCAAUUGAUGGGCAUCUCCAUAGCCCGUUGAUUAGCCUGGUCAAUGUGAGACUUUCUCCUUUUUUUGUCUUCUCCACACAAUCCCCAUCAUCAUAUUCUAUUCCACCCAUAGUGCUAUAUCCAUGGCUCAUGCUCAUGUAUUACGUGAAGGUUGAAAAAGUUUGAGGUUAUUUAAGUAUGAAACAAUUGCUUGGCUUGUCAUCGGGGCUAUAGAAGUUGGGAACAUCUUUGUGUGACGAAAACGAAGCAUACCCUAACUAUAUGAUUUUGUAGGGAUGAACUUUCUUUUGCCAUGUUAUUUUGAGAAGACAUGAUUGCUUUGAUUAGUAUGCUUGAAGUAUUAUUAUUUUUCUGUCAAUAUGAACUUUUGUCUUGAAUCUUUCGGAUCUGAAUAUUCAUAUCACAAUUAAGAAGUUUUACAUUGAAAUUAUGCCAAAGUAUCACUCCGCAUCAAAAAUUCUUUUUUAUCAUUUACCUACUCGAGGACGAGCAGGAAUUAAGCUUGGGGAUGCCUGAUACGUCUCCAACGUAUCUAUAAUUUUUGAUUGCUCCAUCCUACUCUAUCUACUAUUUUGGACUAUAUUGGGCUUUAUUUUCCACUUUUAUAUUAUUUUUGGGACUAACCUAUUAACCGAAGGCCCAGCCCAGAAUUGCUGUUUUUUUUUGCCUUUUUCAGUGUUUCGAAGAAACAAAAUAUCAAACGGAGUCCAAACGGAAUGAAACCUUCAGGAACGUGAUUUUCUCAUCAGAUAAGACCCAGGAGACUUGGACCCUCCGUCAAGAAAGCCACGAGGCGGUCACGAGGGUGGAGGGCGCGCCUCCCUGGGCGCCCCCCUACCUCAUGGGCCCCUCAAAGCUCCACCGAUGUACUCCUUCCUCCUAUAUAUACCUACGUAUCCCCAAACGAUCAGAACAGGAGCCCAAAACCUAAUUCCACCGCCGCAACCUUCUGUAUCCACGAGAUCCCAUCUUAGGCCCUGUUUCGGAGCUCUGCCGGAAGGGGCAUCCACCAUGGAGGGCUUCUACAUCAACACCAUAGCCCCUCCGAUGAAGUGUGAGUAGCUUACUUCAGACCUUCGGGUCCAUAGCUAGUAGCUAGAUGGCUUCUUCUCUCUUUUUGGAUCUCAAUACAAUGUUCUCCCCCUCUCUCGUGGAGAUCUAUUCGAUGCAAUCUUCUUUUUUUGCGGUGUGUUUGUUGAGACCGAUGAAUUGUCGGUUUAUGAUCCAGUAUUAUCUAUGGAAAAUAUUUGAUUCUUCUCUAAAUUCUUUUAUGUAUGAUUGAGUUAUCUUUGCAAGUCUCUUCGAAUUAUCCUUUUUGGUUUGGCCAACUAGAUUGGUAGUUCUUGCAAUGGGAGAAGUGCUUAGCUUUGGUUUCAAUCUUGCGGUGUUCUUUCCCAGUGUUAGAAGGGGCAGCAAGGCACGUAUUGUAUUGUUACCAUCGAGGAUAACAAGAUGGGGUUUUUAUCAUAUUGCAUGAAUUUAUCCCUCUACAUCAUGUCACCUUGCUUAAGGCGUUACUCUGUUUUUAACUUAAUACUCUAGAUGCAUGCUGGAUAGCGGUCGAUGAGUGGAGUAAUAGUAGUAGAUGCAGAAUCGUUUCGAUCUACUUGUCUUGGAUGUGAUGCCUAUAUACAUGAUCAUUGCCUAGAUGUACUCAUAACGAUGCUCAAUUCUGUCAAUUGCUCAACAGUAAUUUGUUCACCCACCAUAGAAUACUUAUGCUCUUGAGAGAAGCCACUAGUUAAACCUAUGGGCCCCGGUUCUAUUCUCAUCAUAUCAAUCUCUAUCACUUUAUUUACUUGCUUUGCUUUUUUACUUUGCCUUUUACUUUUCAGUUUGCAUCUAUCUAUCAAAAAUACCAAAAAAAUUAUUUAUCAUCUUUAUCAGAUCUCACCCUCGUAAGUGAUCGUGAAUGGAUUGACAACCCCUAAUCUCAUUGGUUGCGAGUAGCUAUCGUCUUGGGUAGGUACGAGGGACUUGUGUGUGGUCUCCUACUGGAUUGAUACCUUGGUUCUCAAAAACUGAGGGAAAUACUUACGCUACUUUGCUGCAUCAUCCUCUCCUCUUCGGGGAAAUCCAACGCAGUGCUCAAGAGGUAGCAGAUAGUGAAAGAACAUGCGAUGCCCCCAUUUUUGGUUUUGGUAAUUGAUGACAAUCUCUAUGGAAUAAUGGUUGCCUUGAGUUAUAUUUGAAGGUUUUGUCCAUAGGCUUUUCUUGAAGUCCAUGUGUUGGUUUCAAGGAGUUUAUGAGUUGACCAAGGCGCUAUUUAGGAAUUAUCCAAACAUUGGUCAUGUGAGUGUUGAGCUUAUUGCAAGCAUGUCUUGAAGAAGAAGAUUAUGUGAUCAUUCAUGUUUACCUUCAAGACAUCAUCCAAAUGAAGAGAGUUGGAAAGAUUCAAGGUUGAUCUAGCCUAAGUACAGAGAGUGAUUCAAGUUGAUCAACACACAAAGCGCACAAGUUGUACCGAGAGGGACCAAGUGUUCCCAUGGUAUGGUAAGCAUUGUCCAUUACGCUUUGUGUACUAACCCAUGGUCUAUACGUGAGAGUUCUUUGUGGGGUUAGGUAUGUUUCCAUGGUCUUGCGUCAAGAGGAAGAUCCCAUACAACCCAUGGAGGAUGACAUCAAGUGGUGAUCGUCAUCAAGUUUGCUGUGUGCAAGUUCAAGUGGAGCAACACGAAGAGUGGCUCACCCAUAAUGGAGUAUGGGGGAGCAAUCAAGUUUGAAUCUUGCCAUCCAUUGUGGUGUCAAUGGACUUGUGAAGAUGUGCCGAAGAGUCGCUCACCCAUAGUGGACUAUGGGGGAGCAAUCAUCUAGUCUUCAUCGAGCCAACGCAAUCAAGAAAGGUGGUCCAACUUGAGCGAGUCAAGAUCGUCUUCAUCUAGCUCAAGUGGACCAUGUGCAAGGCAAAGGUUUGCCCUUGAUAGGUUUUCUAUUUUACCGGUCUCGUGGUGGUAGUUGGGAGACCGGGUUAUAGGAUCGUUUGCCGUACUAUCAAGGGGGGCUCUCAAGUUGGUAGCUUGAUCGUAUAGUUAGUAGAGAGCUCAAACCAUUGCAUCCUUGCAUCAUGUUUCUUUGUUCUUGUUUGGUUCUCUUUGUGAGUCUUAGAGCUUAUGGUCAUCUUGAUGACAAGCUUGAGUUCAUCGAAAACGGAGUUCGCAUGCGUCUUCUAUGAUGUUUUCGGUGUUGGAGGUUUUACCGGUCUUAUCCAAGGAAGGGUUCUCACCAUUUUCUUAUGGGCCUUUUCUCAUUUGCUUCUUAUUGAUAUUUGUAUCAAGAUUGUGUUAGCCCUUGUUGCUAGCUUUCCAACAAACUUGGUUUCAUCGAAUUCGGAGCUCGUAUGCGAAAGUUGUGGCUGUUUUGAUAUUGCCUGUUUUACAUAGAGAGGUUGUACCGCCCCGUAGAGAGGUUGUACCGGUUGACCGGUACAACCGGUGUUUGGAGCGGUUGUACCGCUCCAGAAUUGGUACGGAGGUUGUACCGGCCAUGUACCGCUCUACCAACGGACUAGUUUCUGUUUUGGAGCGGUUCUUGGGCGGUUGUUGACCGGUUUAACCGGUACUACCGGUUCCCCAGGCUGUUGUACCGCUUAGAGCUUUUCCCAGGUUGGUUUUUCCUCUGCUUUGGCCGGUUGUACCGGUUCGUGCACCGGUUGUACCGGUCCUACAGUUUUCUGCACAUAACGAGCAGAUUCGUGGGGACCUAUUUAAGGGGGUCUUCUUCCCUAAUGGUUCCCCAUCUCUUGAGCUCGUUUUUGCCCCCAUUGUUGACCUUCUUUGAGCUUGCUAACUCUCAAUCCCUCCAUGGAUUCUUGCUAGUUUUUGAGGGAAAAGAGAGAGGAGAUCUAGAUCCACACUUCCACCAAUCACUUUCUCCUCUAUGUGAGGGGAACCUCUUGGAUCUAGAUCUUCGAGUUCUUCGUGUUCUUCUUUCGUUCUUCCUCUCAUUUUCCUCCCUAGCAUUAGUUGCUUUGGUGGGAUUUGGGAGAGAAGAACUUGGGCACUCCGUGUGCCCUUGACAUUGCAUUUGGUGCAUCGGUUUGAGUUCUCCACGUGAUACGUGGAAGUUACAAGUUGAGAAGCUUAUUACUCUUGGGUGCUUGGUGCCCUUGAGCUUGUUCAUCUUGGGUGCUUGGGCGCCCUAGACCGUUGGUGGUGUUCGGAGCUCAAUCAUUGUGGUGUAAAGCUCUGGGCAAGCGUCAGGGUCUCCAAUUAGGUUGUGGAGAUCGCCCCGAGCAAUUUGAUGGGUACCGGUGACCGCCCCCAAGGGUUGCCAAAGUGUACGGGUUCGGUGACCGCCCCAAGGGUUGCCAUUUGUACGGGUUCGGUGACCGCCCUCAAGGGUCCCUUAGUGGAAUCAUGACAUCUUGCAUUGUGCGAGGGCGUGAGGAGAUUACGGUGGCCCUAGUGGCUUCUUGGGGAGCAUUGUGCCUCCACACCGCUCCAAACGGAGAUUAGCAUCCGCAAGGGUGUGAACUUCGGGAUACAUCGUCGUCUCCGCGUGCCUCGGUUAUCUCUUACCCGAGCCCUUUACCUAUGCACUUUACUUUGAGAUAGCCAUAUUGUUCUUUGUCAUAUAUCUUGCUAUCACAUAGUUGCUUAUAUUGCUUAGCAUAAGUUGUUGGUGCACAUAGGUGAGCCUAGUUGUUUUAGGUUUUGUGCUUGACAAAUUAACCGCUAGGUUUAUUCUGCAUUUGUUCAAUCCUAAACUGUAAUUAUUUUAAAACGCCUAUUCACCCCCCCUCUAGGCGACAUCCACGAUCUUUCAAUUGGUAUCAGAGCCUCGUCUCUCUUUGUUAGGCUUAACCGCCUAGAGAGUAAAGAUGUCAACUAGGGGAUUAGGAUUCUCUGACACUCUUAGUUUCGAUGGCACAAAUUUUGAUGUUUGGGUAAUUCGCAUGCUUAAUCUCUUUAGGGCCAUGAACCCAAAUUUAGAGCGAAUUGUAGAUAUGGGUUUUUCUCCUCCAAAGGAUCCCCAAAGAUUAUCUUUAGAGGAUGAGAAAAACUCUUAUCUCAAUGCUCAAGCUUCUAAUGUGCUUUUCGAUGCUUUGAGAAAUUUAGUCAUAUUUCAACUCAUGCCGUUCCGGGAUGCUCAUGAGUUGUGGACAAAGCUUCAAGAUAAAUAUGGCGUGUCCAAGAUUUGUGAGGAUGAUUGUUCUCCCUCCACCUCCGGUCGUAUAGUCUUCUCAACUUCUUCUACUUCACCUACAUGUGGUUUGCCACAAGGUAAUGAUAUGGUGAGUAGUGUUGGUCACUGGAAUGAUGAUAGUAUGCUUAUUGUGGAUGAUCCUUCAUCACUAUAUUAUUGCAAUGCUCCUUCUUUGGGCUUUAACACUUCGAGCACUCCAAAUGUUUCACAUGCUUGUGUUGAUAGUCCUUGCAUAUCAUGUAGAAAUUGCUUGACUAAAUCUCAUGAUGAUAUGCUUGCUAUGUCUUAUUGCCAUGAUAAAAAUGCAUCUAUUUCCUCGAAUUGUUGUGCUACGAAUGUAGAGGAAACCAAACAUUCCAUGGAACAAGAUCUGGUGUUUAAUGGUGCCUCAAGGGAUCCUACAUCAUCAUCUAUUGCUUUUUGCCUUAUGGCUAAGGCGUCAAAGGUAUCUCCUACUUUGUACCCCAAUAUGUCUCUUGAUGAUGAUGUUGAUGCUAAUAAUGAUGAGGAUAAUGAUGAACAGAAUGAUAAUGUUGCCUCCUUAAAAACUAAGGGGGAAAUGAUUUUUAAAGCUCUUCAUAAAAAUAAAAUUGCUCGUUCCAACUUCAUGGAAAUAAUGUCCAUUGCCAUUGAUGGCAAGAAAUACAUUGAGGAGUUGGAAUCUCUUCUAGAGGAGCAUGAGGUCACCAUUGAGAAAAUGGAAGCUCAUGGGCGUGAUUACGCAAAUGAGAUCACGGAGCUAUCUCAAGCUCUUGAACAUGAACAAACCACCUCUGAAUCUCUUGAAGAGACUUUUGCUCUAGAAUUAGCUAGAGUGAGGGAAUCUCAUGAUAGAGCUCUUGAGGUGGCCAACGAUUUCAAAUCUAAAAAUGCUAAGCUUGAAGUCUCUCAUGCUAGACUCCUUGAAGAUUUUGAGCACCUCGAAAAUGGCUCAAGGGUCAUCAAGGGUGAGCUCAUCAAACGCACCGAGUCUCAUGCCCAACUUGAAGCUUCUUAUUUAACAGAGCUUGCCAAGUUUCCUUCUCCUCUUGUUGUUAAUGAUGAUGCUUGUGCUACUAAUUCUAUUACUUGUGAAGCAUCCAUUUUGAAGGAGAAUGUUGAGCUACGGGCUCAACUUGAGGUGCUAUCUAGCAAUUAUGGGAAAUUGGAAGAAAGUCAUGAAAAGCUCUCAAGCUCUCAUGAUGAUCUUCUAGUAUCCCAUAGUGUGCUAAAGAUAGCUCAUGAGGCCAUGAUUGUUAAGGUAACAUCUAGUGAGCCUUAUGUGGGUACUAGCACUACUUCUAGUCAAAAUAGUAUAUUGCCAUGUGCUAGUCCUUGUAAUUCAUCUACUCACAAUGUUGGUACAUCUUGUGAUGAAUUACUCUCCUUGCCUUGUUGCUCUAACGAUGAAGCUUAUACUUCCUCUAGUACUUGUGUUGAGACUAACCGUGUAGAGGAAAUCAAAGAGCUCAAGGCCCAAGUCACUUCUUUGAAGAAAGACUUGGAAAAGUGUCAUGAAGGGAAAUCCACACUCAACAAUAUCUUGAGUGUGCAAAAAUCCCCCAAUGACAAAGGUGGACUAGGAUUCAACUCCAAUAAGAAGAAGAAGUCCAAGAUGAACAAAAAGAAGGGCCAAGAACAAGUCAAGAAUUCGGCCAAGAUUGUUUGCUUCAAGUGCAAAGUAGAAGGGCAUCAUGUUAGAUCUUGCCCAUUGAAGAAGAAGGCCAUUAGUGUCAAGCAACAAGGGAAGAGGGCACAAGUUCAAUCACAUGCUCAACCUUAAGUUGAAGAAAGGCCUCUUCCCAAGAAGACUCAAGUUAAUGCUUCUCAAGUUGAGAAAUCAAGUGAGAAGAAAGUGAAGAGUAGACGUUGCUACCUAUGCCGUGAGAAAGGUCACCUCGCUUCUUCAUGCACUAGUGGUAACUUAUCCAACCCAAUUAUUAUUGAUGACGUCUAUUCUCUUAGGAAGGAUAAGGUUGGCAAUGUGGUUGCCAAGUUUGUUGGUACUCAAAGUGGUUUGAAGCAAAGAACCAUUUGGGUAGCCAAGCUUAUUGUGACUAACCUCUUAGGACCCAACUUGGUCGGGGACCAACUAGCUCAAACUUGAUCAAUAGGUGUUGUUGGAGGGCAUUGGAGACUUGGCUACUUUAUGAAGAAUUAAGGGGACUUCAUCACUCUUAUUGUCUCAAGCCAAGUCAAUUGAAUCAUCAAGUUUACAUCUUAUAUCCAAUGUGCCUCCUUGCGAUAACUUGUACUUAAAAUUGCUUACAUUGAAAGUUACUUGCUCCCUUACAUGUUUUGGUUUUGUUCCUUGCAUGUGUUGGUAUAUGUUGUGAUUCCAACUUGCUUAUCUUGAGCAAUCAAGUAUGCGGGUGUUGGUUUGCACACCAUGUAUGUGUGUGUCGUGCGUUGAGCCUUUAUGCUUCUUGUUUGUUUCCUAGUUGGCUCGUGUGAGAGAUUAAUGGAACAUCCCAUUUUGGGGGAGUGAUGUUCUUUGUGCACCUCACAAUCCUAUAAAUGUGUGUACAUGAGGAAUACCAUCUAGUAUUGAUAUUUCAAGAUUAUCUAGUCGCUAGGUGGUAUAUCUCUCAUGAGAAAUUCAAAUUCUAGAUAGUCCAUUAAUUAUCUCUUGUUUGUUCCUCUUAUUGCCUCUUGUUAAGUUCUUAUUGGUAUCACAUUAUGGGGUAGUAAUAUGCUAAGUCCAUAUUACAAGCCUAGAAAAUGUGUACAUUUGAGAUAUUAUCACCUAGAAUUGAUAUUGUAGAUUAUCUUGUUCCUAGGUGGCAUGUUAGCUCUACAGGUUGCAAUUUGCUUGUGUUUGUUGUGAAGAUGAUGUUGGACAUCAUUGCUAUCUACCACCGGGAAUUAUUUCCAAAUACUUCUUGUCUUUUGACAAUUGGUAGUCACUUAUGUGUGGUAGAAUUUGUUGAUCAUCUUUACUUUGGCUUUUGUUUUUCCUUUUCUCUUGCCAAGGUUUGUGUCAACUCCCGGUGUCUUACCUACCACUUGUGGAUCUUGUUUAUUUCUUGUUCUUGUCUAGUGUUUUCUAGAUAUAGUGAAAGUAGUGAUCCCACCUUGUGCAUUUUGUAUUCAAAUGCAAAUCCUAUAUAAUGCACAACUCGUGGGGGAGCUAUCCUAUUUUCUUUAGAACACUCUUCUUGUGAUCCUUAUCGAGUGUGUUUUGGUGGAAGGCAAGCCAUUUCUUUUUGGUAUUCUGUGCCAUCAUGAAACUUUGUUGAGAGCUUGGUUUGUUUGGAACCAUCCUCUCUUUGGGAGUUUGACAUCUUUAGUUUAGUGUGCAUCAAUGGAUAUCUCAUUCCUUGAUGUAUCUUUAAUGAUAUCUUCCAAGUGAUCAUUUCUCCAUUUGGUAUCCUUUUCACUUGGCAUUUCUUUCUCUUUAGGUUUCGGGUUUUGAAAGUCUUGAGCAUGCAUGUUUACUUCAUGUAUUUUAUUUGGCAUGCUUUCUUUCUUUGACUCAAUAUAUAGGGGAUCUCCACCAAGUCUCAAAUCGGAUGAGAUGUGUAUGAAAUUCAUUUACAUAUCUAUAUGCACAUAUUUAUGUGGAGUUUGUCCUAUGUAUUGGUUUUUCUAACUAUUUGGUCCCAAUGAGUUUGGGUAUCGUUUAGUUUGUGUUGUUCUUCUAGGAACAUUUGGAGAUGCACUGGAUGCUCGGCUCACUCACAAGGAAGGUGUUGUCACCAUGUGCAUAUUGGAGUCAAGCUAGGAUGAUCAAUGAACUACUAUCUACCUUCAAUUGGUAUCUACUACAUCCUUCCAAUGAUAUCUCGAUAACAAGUAUAUAUUCAUGCUUUCUCCUCUUGCAUUCAACCUUGUGUAGGUUGCAUCUUGGCAUGAUAUUCAUUUCAUAUCUUGUGAUACUUGUUUCCUUUCUCAAAGCAUCCCAACGAUGAUCUCUUGUUGCUAGUUGUGAUGCCUUUGAUGGAUGUGUGUUUGGACUUCAUUUAUAUACAAUGAGACCAUAUCUAGCCAAGUGCUAUGCUUUCAAGCAAAUAUCUUAUUGGUAUAUUUAUGACUUCCUUUUGGUUAUCUCAUUCCUUCUUGUUGUAACUAUUUCGGGUGUACAUCCUUCUUUGUAGAUAUAUAUCAUCAUGAUUUCGUCUACCUAGAACAUUAUACACUUGAGAGAAAUUACAUCUCUAGUUGAUAUCCUUUCUUUCAUGUCCACCUUGUCUUUCUUAUGUUAUUUCUUUGGUGGCUCCGUGAAAGCUUUUGCCUUGAGUGCGUGUCGUAUCUCAUUGCAUCUUGAUGCACUCUUGUGUGGUGAAGAUUAUUUUCCUCUUGCUUAUCUUUACGAGGCUUUUACCAUCUUAAUUGGUAUCCCUCGUCUUGAUGAGCCUCCCCUCGUCUAUCUUCACCACGGGUUGUCACAAGCAUAGGUUCUCUUUUGCUUAUUAGCAAGCUUGUGAACCCGUUUGCCAAUUGUGUGUGGGAAUGAUAGGCCUUGCACCGUGUGCCUCAUUCUUUCAAGACUAUGUUGAUGCUUAAUGCUCAUCCUAAUUUUAGUCUUCUCAAGUGCUUCGCCAGGACUCACACACAUCAUUUUGGUUGAGCCUAUUCUUAAGUUGCCUCUUUUACAUGUUGCUCAACCAUGUGCUUAUUGCAAGCGCUAGGCUUUGUUUCCUAUAUGCUCACCUGCACUAGAUGUGUGUUUCUAUUGAUUUUGGGCGAGCUAUGAUCCUAUUUUGUGCACUUUGUAUCCAAAUACAAAAAUUCUUGAUGUGCACAAAUCAUGGGGAGCUUCUCUAGUUUCUUUGGAACACUGCUCCGCUCUUAUCAUAAUAUCCUUUAUUCAUGUGGCUCGUAGGAUCAUUGGCCUAGUUGGUUCAAUUGGUAUCUUAUGAUAGCUUGCUUCAAUUGGUAUCUUUUGAUUGCUUGAUUGCGUGUUUCUCUCUUUGAUUAUGUCUUUGUGGCAUAUCUUCCUUUUGCAAUCUUUGGGCCUCAAUAUAGUUUGUCUUCCUCCAAGUAUUUACCGUUGGAUAUGUGUAUUGCAUUCCACUCUCUUGUUGAGAAAUACACAAUUUAUGGAGGAACACAUUUUAUAUUGGCCUUCUAAGCUUUUAGCCCAUUUUGGCAAUCGAUGCCAAUGGGGGAGAAGUUUCAGAGAGUUGUGUGGAGAAGUUUAGAGAGUUGUCUCCUCUUGCUUUGGUUUUGUUCCUUAGCAUUUGCAUCUCAUUUGCAUGCACUAUUGGUUGUUUUAUUGCAUGGUGAUGCAUAAUUCCUUAUAUAAACUCUCUUGAAAGUGAUUGUCAUCAAUUACCAAAAUGGGGGAGAUUGAAAGAACAUGCGAUGCCCCCAUGUUUGGUUUUGGUAAUUGAUGACAAUCUCUAUGGACUAAUGGUUGCCUUGAGUUAUAUUUGAAGGUUUUGUCCAUAGGCUUUUCUUGAAGUCCAUGUGUUGGUUUCAAGGAGUUUAUGAGUUGAUCAAGGUGCUAUUAAGGAAUUAUCCAAAGAUUGGUCAUGUGAGUGUUGAGCUUAUUGCAAGCAUGUCUUGAAGAAGAAGAUUAUGUGAUCAUUCAUGUUUACCUUCAAGACAUCAUCCAAAUGAAGAGAGUUGGAAAGAUUCAAGGUUGAUCUAGCCUAAGUACAAAGAGUGAUUCAAGUUGAUCAACACACAAAGCGCACAGGUUGUACCGAGAGGGACCAAGUGUUCCCAUGGUAUGGUAAGCAUUGUCCAUUACGCUUUGUGUACUAACCCAUGGUCUAUGUGAGAGUUCUUUGUGGGGUUAGGUAUGUUUCCAUGGUCUUGCGUCAAGAGGAAGAUCCCAUACAACCCAUGGAGGAUGACAUCAAGUGGUGAUCGUCAUCAAGUUUGUUGUGUGCAAGUUCAAGUGGAGCAACACGAAGAGUGGCUCACCCAUAAUGGAGUAUGGGGGAGCAAUCAAGUUUGAAUCUUGCCAUCCAUUGUGGUGUCAAUGGACUUGUGAAGAUGUGCCGAAGAGUCGCUCACCCAUAGUGGACUAUGGGGGAGCAAUCAUCUAGUCUUCAUCGAGCCAACGCAAUCAAGAAAGGUGGCCCAACUUGAGGGAGUCAAGAUCGUCUUCAUCUAGCUCAAGUGGACCAUGUGCAAGGCAAAGGUUUGCCCUUGAUAGGUUUUCUAUUUUACCGGUCUCGUGGUGGUAGUUGGGAGACCGGGUUAUAGGAUCGUUUGCCGUACUAUCAAGGGGGGCUAUCAAGUUUGUAGCUUGAUCGUAUCGUUAGUAGAGAGCUCAAACCCUUGCAUCCUUGCAUCAUGUUUCUUUGUUCUUGUUUGGUUCUCUUUGUGAGUCUUAGAGCUUAUGGUCAUCUUGAUGACAAGCUUGAGUUCAUCGUAAACGGAGUUCGCAUGCGUCUUCUAUGAUGUUUUCAGUGUUGGAGGUUUUACCGGUCUUAUCCAAGGAAGGGUUCUCACCAUUUUCUUAUGGGCCUUUUCUCAUUUGCUUCUUAUUGAUAUUUCUAUCAAGAUUGUGUUAGCCCUUGUUUCUAGCUUUCCAACAAACUUGGUUUCAUCGAAUUCGGAGCUCGUAUGCGAAAGUUGUGGCUGUUUUGAUAUUGCCUGUUUUACAUAGAGAGGUUGUACCGCCCCGUAGAGAGGUUGCACCGGUUGACCGGUACAACCGGUGUUUGGAGAGGUUGUACCGCUCCAGAAUUGGUCCGGAGGUUGUACCGGCCAUGUACCGCUCUACCACGGGACUAGUUUCUGUUUUGGAGCGGUUCUUGGGCGGUUGUUGACCGGUUUAACCGGUACUACCGGUUCCCCAGGCUGUUGUACCGCUCAGAGCUUUUCCCAGGUUGGUUUUUCCUCUGCUUUGGCCGGUUGUACCGGUUCAUGCACCGGUUGUACCGGUCCUACAGUUUUCUGCACAUAACAGGCAGAUUCGUGGGGACCUAUUUAAGGGGGUCUUCUUCCCCAAUGGUUCCCCAUCUCUUGAGCUCGUUUUUGCCCCCAUUGUUGACCUUCUUUGAGCUUGCUAACUCUCAAUCCCACCAUGGAUUCUUGCUAGUUUUUGAGGGAAAAGAGAGAGGAUAUCUAGAUCCACACUUCCAGCAAUCACUUUCUCCUCCAUGUGAGGGGAACCCCUUGGAUCUAGAUCUUGGAGUUCUUCGUGUUCUUCUUUCGUUCUUCCUCUCAUUUUCCUCCCUAGCAUUAGUUGCUUUGGUGGGAUUUGGGAGAGAAGAACUUGGGCACUCUGUCUGCCCUUGCCAUUGCAUUUGGUGCAUUGGUUUGAGUUCUCCACGUGAUACGUGGAAGUUACAAGUUGAGAAGCUUAUUACUCUUGGGUGAUUGGUUCCCUUGAGCUUGUUCAUCUUGGGUGCUUGGGCGCCCUAGACGGUUGGUGGUGUUCAGAGCUCAAUCAUUGUGGUGUAAAGCUCCGGGCAAGCGUCGAGGUCUCCAAUUAGGUUGUGGAGAUCGCCCCGAGCAAUUUGACGGGUACCGGUGACCGCCCCCAAGGGUUGCCAAAGUGUACGGGUUCGGUGACCGCCCCCAAGGGUUGCCAUUUGUACGGGUUCGGUGACCGCCCUCAAGGGUCCCUUAGUGGAAUCACGACAUCUUGCAUUGUGCGAGGGCGUGAGGAGAUUAUGGUGGCCCUAGUGGCUUCUUGGGGAGCAUUGUGCCUCCACACCGCUCCAAACGGAGAUUAGCAUCCGCAAGGGUGCGAACUUCGGGAUACAUCAUCGUCUUCGCGUGCCUCGGUUAUCUCUUACCCGAGCCCUUUACUUAUGCACUUUACUUUGUGAUAGCCAUAUUGUUCUUUGUCAUAUAUCUUGCUAUCACAUAGUUGCUUAUAUUGCUUAGCAUAAGUUGUUGGUGCACAUAGGUGAGCCUAGUUGUUUUAGGUUUUGUGCUUGACAAAUUAACCGCUAGGUUUAUUCCGCAUUUGUUCAAGCCUAAACCGUAAUUAUUUUAAAACGCCUAUUCACCCGCCCCCCCUCUAGGCGACAUCCACGAUCUUUCAGAUAGCAGACCCCGAGCUUGGACCGGCUGCCCCCGGGUCCGGGUCGGGAAGGGGCGCUGCAGGGUUGUCCUAGAUGAAGAUGGACUUGGAAUCCGGAGACGGCUUGACAGACGGCUUGCACAUGUGCUCGAGGGAGACACUUGACGGUAUGGCCUGCCGGGAUGAGCCAAUCUUGGCUAGCAUGUCGGCAGCUUCUUUUUCUGCGCGAGGGACAUGGAGCUAGACCAGGAAAUGGUAGAUGGCCAUGUUGGCAUCCCAGGUGUCCCACUCGCCGGAACAUUGCUACACCACCAGAUCCGAAUCGCCAUAGCAUAGGAUGCACCGGAUGCCGAGUUCCUUGGCAAGCCGGAGGCCAUGCACAAGGGCUUCAUACUCGACGACGUUGUUGGAGGCGGCGAAGUGGAUCUGGAGCACGUACCGCAGCUGGUCGCCCUUCAGGGAAGACAACACGAUGUUGGCUCCCAAGCCGGAGCGCAUAUUGGAGCCGUCAAAGUGCAUGCGCCAAUGUGUUGAAUCCUCCGGCGACAGCAGGUACUGGGUCUCUAUCCAGUCGACGAGGAAGUCAGCGAAGGCCUGGGACUUGAUCGUGGAGCGGGGCUCGUAGAGGAUGGUGUGGUCGGCCAGCUCGAUGGCCCACUUGGCAACCCGACUAGAGGCAUCCCGACAACCUAUGAUCUCGCUGAUGGGGGCCCUGCUGGCCACAGUGAUAAUGUGCUCUUGGAAGUACUGCUUCAGCUUCUUGGCGGUAAAAUACACACCAUAACACAUCUUCUGGUAGUGCGGGUAGUUCUACUUGGAUGCGGAAAGCAGCUCGCUCAGGUAGUAGACUUGGUGCUGGACAUACUGGAUCUUGCCCUUCUCUUGUCGCUCGACCACCAGCACCGUGCUAACCGAUCGUGAGGUGGCGGCGAUGUAUAGCAAUAGUGGCUCCUUGUCAACCGGCGCGGCCAAGACGGGUGCGGUGGAGAGCAUGCGCUUGAGAUCCUGAAAUGCUUCGUCCGCCUGGUCGUUCUGCUCGAACGGCGAUGUAUUCUGCAUCAGCUGAUAUAGGGGCAGGGCCCUCUCGCCCAGCAGGCUGAGAAACUGGCUGACCGAGGCCAAGCAGCCAGUGAACUUCUGGGCAUCAUGCAACCUGGUUGGCUUGCGCCUGCGCUCGAUAACCUUGAUCUUCUCCGAGUUUGCCUCAAUGCUGCGCUCCGAGAUGAGGAAGCCGGGCAGCUUCCCGGCCGGCACGCCGAGCACGCACUUCUUUGGGUUGAGCUUGAUCUGGUACUCGCGCAGAUUGGCCAAGGUCUCUUUUUGGUCAUCAAGGAGCGUGAGGUGCUGCUUGGUCUUCACCACGAUGUCGUCAACGUAGACGUGAAUGUUGCGGCCGAGUUGCUUCAGCAAGCAUUUCUGCAUGCACCGCUGGAAGGUGGCGCCGGCAUUCUUCAAGCCGAACGACAUGGUGAUGUAGCAGUAUGCCCCAAAGGGUGUGAUGAAGGACAUCUUCGGGGCAUCGGCCGGGUCCAGCUUGAUAUGAUGAUAGCCAGAGUAAGCAUCCAGGAAGGACAUGAGCUCACAACCGGCGGUGGAGUCAAUGACUUGAUCGAUCCGCAGGAGGGCGAAAGGAUCCUUGGGGCAAGCCAUGUUCAGGCUGGUGUAGUCUAUGCACAUGCAUUAGGUGUUGUUCUUCUUCAGGACGAGGACCGGGUUGGCCAGCCACUCGGGAUGAAACACUUCCAUGAUGAAGCCGGCCGCGAGUAGCUUGGCGACCUCUUCACCUAUGGUUCUUCUCUUCUCUUCCAAAAAGCGACGUAGGGGUUGACGGACAGCCUUGGCGUCCUUGCGUACAUGGAGUUUGUGCUCUACGUACUUCCUCAGAAUCCCCGGCAUGUCCUUUAGGGGCCAGCCACUGAUGUAUGCAUGUUUUUAAGUUUGAAGCAAUGCUGGUUCGUUCUGGGGACACUGCGGCCGAUUUCUCUCUCGGACUAGUUAUUCAAAGUUUCAACGCACCUUUUGUUGUGUGUACUUGUUUUGUCUUGGUAUACCAAUGGUUCUGGACAAUGGGAGAUGGUGAUACACUUUGGAGAUUACAUUGUACCUUCUUUUGGUGCUAUUUUCUUGUCAUGUCUUUUAAAUAGGUUAUGUUUUAAAUAGCAGAACACCAAGGGGACAAUGAUGCUGUUAAUAGGAAAUAUUGUGGAUCAUAAUGUUCAUCCUCUGCUGUUAGACAACUUUUGACACAAAAGUGUUUCAGAAGACUAGGAAGAUAUCCUCUUUAUUUGUGGGUAUUUUCCACAUAGGUAGGUUUAAAGAGAUUAAAAUGUGCGAUGUCAGACACUUCCUUUGUUAUAAUGGUGCACAUACACUCCAGUCCAAUGCAAUUUUUCUGUGUUAAUAAGAGAGGUAAUUUGACUUACCACUGAGGGGUUUGCCUAGGGGGACGAUGUUCAACUCUAUCUGGAGGUUUGUGUUGAGAAGGUCAUUAUCGAAACUAAUUUCUUUAGCUGCACACUAGUAGAAAACAGGGCUAUCGUUCGGGCCUGGCCAGCCCAUUAGUCGUAUUAGACCCGGUUUGUGAGCCCGGGGGGCCGGCCGGGGCCUCGUGGGCAUUGGUCCCGAUUCAUGUGGAACCAUUUGUCCCGGUUCAAGCCAUGAAUCGGGACCAAUGGUCCUCGCUCCUGGCCCACAACCAUUGGUCCCGAUUCGUGGCUUGAACCGGGACAGAAGGGAGGGCUUUAGUCCCGGUUCAUGCCACGAACCGGGACAAAUAACUUUCCUAUAUAUAUACCCACCGCCGCGGCAGAGCACUCCACAGUGCUCUGUUUUUUCAAUCCGGCGAGGAGAGGACAUUUGGGUGCUCUAGUUCACUUGCUAUGCACAUGAGGUGUUCGAUGAAAUGCCCGAGCCACACUAGUUAAGCUUUCUCCUCUCGAAGCUCAACCUCGGAGCUCUAUUUUUUCUGAGAUUUGUCUAGAUUUAGCAGUCCAUCACGCCCCGUCCCCAUUUUCACCGCCGUUGAUCGCCCGCGCCGAUCUCGUCGCCGGCACCACCGUGGUGAGCCUCUUGUUCUUAUCUUCUUUCUGAUACUUGUCUGACUUUCUUACUUUAGAUAGAUAUUUGUCUGAUUUUCUUACUUUUGACACACAUAAUUAUAUAUAAUGCACGCAGAUGAACCGGCAAUGGAUGUAUGGUGACAGACACACCUCCGAGUACAUUACGGGCGUGCAUAAUUUUCUCGAAGUGGCUAAGGCAAACAAGUAGAAUGGUUUUAUGUGUUGUCCAUGCACUAAAUGUGGGAAUACAAAGUCUUACUCUGACCGGAAAAUCCUUCACACCCACCUACUUUACAAGGUUUUCAUGCCACACUAUAAUGUUUGGACGAGGCACAGAGAAAUAUGGGUUAUGAUGGAAGACGGCUAAGAAGAAGAGGACAAUGACAAAUAUGUGCCCCCUGAAUACGGUGAUGCUGCAACCGGGGGAGCUACUGAAGAUCAAGAGGAACCAGACGAUGUGCCCGAUGAUGCUGCAAUGGGGGAAGCUGCUGAAGAUCAAGAGGAACCAGACGAUGUGCCCGAUGAUGAUCUCCGCCGGGUCAUUGUCGAUGCAAGGACGCAAUGCGAAAGUCAAAAGGAGAAGCUAAAGUUCGAUCGCAUUUUAGAGGAUCACAAAAAAGGGUUGUACCCCAAUUACGAAGAUGGCAACACUAAGCUGGGUACCGUACUGGAAUUGCUGUAGUGGAAGGCGGAGAAUGUUGUGCCUGACAAAGGAUUUGAGAAGCUACUGAAAAUAUUGAAGAAGGAGCUUCCAAAGGAUAAUGAAUUGCCCGAUAGUACGUAAGCAACAAAGAAGGUCGUAUGCCCUCUAGGAUUGGAGGUGCAGAAGAUACAUGCAUGCCCUAAUGACUGCAUCCUCUACCGCGGUGCGUACGAGGAUUUGAACGCAUGCCCGGUAUGCGGUGCAUUAAGGUAUAAGAUCAGGCGAGAUGACCCUGGUGAUGUUGACGGCGAGCCCCGCAGGAAGAGAGUUCCUGCGAAGGUGAUGUGGUAUGCUCCUAUAAUACCACGGUUGAAACGACUGUUUAGAAACAAAGAGCAUGCCAAGUUGAUGCGAUGGCACAGGGAGGACCGUAAGAAAGACGGGAAGUUGAGAGCACCAGCUGACGGGUCGCAGUGGAGAAAAAUCGAGAGAGAGUACUGGGCUGAGUUUGCACAUGACCCAAGGAACGUAUGGUUUGGUUUAAGCGUGGAUGGCAUUAAUCCUUUCGGGGAGCAGAGCAGCAAUCACAGCACCUGGCCCGUGACUCUAUGUAUGUAUAACCUUCCAACUUGGAUGUGCAUGAAGUGGAAGUUCAUUAUGAUGCCAGUUCUCAUCCAAGGCCCUAAGCAACCCGACAACAACAUUGAUGUGUACCUAAGGCCAUUAGUUUAAGAACUUUUACAGCUAUGGAAUGGAAACGGUGUACGUGUGUGGGAUGAGCACAGACAGGAGGAAUUUAACCUGCACACGUUGCUGUUUGUAACCAUCAACGAUUGGCCCGCUCUCAGUAACCUUUCAGGACAGACAAAUAAGGGAUACCACGCAUGCACGCACUGUUUAGCUGACACCGAAAGUAUAUACCUGGGAAGGUGCAGGAAGAAUGUGUACCUGGGCCAUCGUCGAUUUCUUUCGACCAACCAUCAAUGUCGAAAGAAAGGCAAGCAUUUCAAAGGCGAGGCAGAUCACCGGAAGAAGCCCGCCAUGCGUACUGGUGAUCACGUACUUGCUAUGGUCAAUGAUUUACACGUAAUAUUUGGAAAGGGUCCCGGCGGACUAGCUGUUCCGAGUGACGCUGAGGGACACGCACCCAUGUGGAAGAAGAAAUCUAUAUUUUGGGACCUACCCUACUGGAAAGACCUAGAGGUCUGCUCUUCGAUCGACGUGAUGCACGUGACGAAGAACCUUUGCGUGAACCUGCUUGGCUUCUUGGGCGUGUAUGGGAAGACAAAAGAUACAGCUGAGGCACGGGAGGACCUGCAACGUUUGCACGAAAAAGACGACAUGCCUCCAAAGCAGUAUGAAGGUCCUGCCAGCUACACUCUUUUUGGGGAACGUAGUAAUUUCAAAAAAUUUCCUACGCACACGUAAGAUCAUGGUGAUUUAUAGCAACGAGAGGGGAGAGUGUUGUCCAGGUACCCUCGUAGACCGAAAGCAGAAGUGUUAGAACAACACGGUUGAUGUAGUCGUACGUCUUCACGGCCCGACCGAUCAAGCACCGAAACUACGACACCUCCGAGUUCUAGCACACGUUUAGCUCGAUGACGAUCCCCGUACUCCGAUCCAGCAGAAUGUCGGGGAAGAGUUCCGUCAGCACAACAGCGUGGUGACGAUCUUGAUGUUCUACCAUCGCAGGGCUUCGGCUAAGCAUCGCUACAAUAUUAUCGAGGACUAUGGUGGAGGGGGGCACCGCACACGGCUAAGAGAUCAAGAGAUCAAUUGUUGUGUCUUAGAGGUGCCCCCUGCCCCUGUAUAUAAAGGAGCAAGGGGGGAGGGGGCGGCCGGCCUAGGAGGGGGCGCGCCAUGGGGAGUCCUACUCCCACCGGGAGUAGGACUCCCUCCUUCCUUGUUGGACUAGGAGAGGGGAAGGAAAGGGAGAGGAGGAGAAGGAAAGAGGGGGGAGGCCCCCCUUGCCCUAAACCAAUUCGGUUUGGGCCUUGGGGGGCGCGCCCCACACUCCCCUUGCUGCCCUCUAUUUCCACUAAGGCCCAUGUAGGCCCAUUAAGCUCCCGGGGGGUUCCGGUAACCUCCCGGUACUCCGGUAAAAUCCCGAUUUCACCCGGAACACUUCCGACAUCCAAAUAUAGGCUUCCAAUAUAUCAAUCUUCAUGUCUCGACCAUUUCGAGACACCUCGUCAUGUCCGUAAUCUCAUCCGGGACUCUGAACAAACUUCGGUAUAUCAAAACUCAUAAACUCAUAAUAUAACUGUCAUCGAAACCUUAAGCGUGUGGACCCUACGGGUUCGAGAACUAAGUAGACAUGGCCGAUACUCGUUUUCGGUCAAUAACCAAUAGCAGAACCUGGAUGCUCAUAUUGGCGCCUACAUAUUCUACGAAGAUCUUUAUCGGUCAAACGCAUAACGACAUACGUUGUUCCCUUUGUCAUUGGUAUGUUACUUGCCCGAGAUUCGAUCGUCGAUAUCCUAAUACCUAGUUCAAUCUCAUUACCGACAAGUCUCUUUACUCGUUACGUAAUGCAUCAUUCCAUAACUAACUUAUUAGCUACAUUGCUUGCAAGGCUUAUAUUGAUGUGCAUUACCUAGAGGGCCCAGAGAUACCUCUCCGACAAUCAGAGUGACAAAACCUAAUCUCGAAAUACGCCAACUCAACAUGUACAUUUGGAGACACCUGUAGAGCUCCUUUAUAAUCACUCAGUUACGUUGUGACGUUUGGUAGCACACAAAGUGUUCUUCCGGUAAACGGGAGUUGCAUAAUCUCAUAGUUAUAGGAACUUGUAUAAGUCAUGAAGAAAGCAAUAGCAACAUACUAAACGAUCAAGUGCUAAGAUAACGGAAUGGGUCAAGUCAAUCACAUCAUUCUCCUAAUGUUGUGAUCCCGUUAAUCAAAUGACAACACAUGUCUAUGGUUAGGAAACAUAACCAUCUUUGAUUAAUGAGCUAGUCAAGUAGAGGCAUACUAGUGACAUUAAGUUUGUCUAUAUUUCACACAUGUAUCAUGUUUCCGGUUAAUACAAUUCUAGCAUGAAUAAUAAACAUUUAUCAUGGUAUGAGGAAAUAAACAAUAACUUUAUUAUUGCCUCUAGGGCAUAUUUCCUUCAGUGUCCCACUUGCACGAGAGUCAAUAAUCUAGAUUACACAGUAAUGAUUCUAACACCCAUGGAGUCUUGGUGCUGAUCAUGUUUUGCUCGUGGAAGAGGCUUAGUCAACGGGUCUGCAACAUUCAGAUCCAUAUGUAUCUUGCAAAUCUCUAUGUCUCCCACCUGGACUUGGUCCCGGAUGGAAUUGUAGCGUCUCUUGUUGUGCUUGGUCCUCUUGUGAAAUAUGGAUUCCUUUGCCAAGGCAAUUGCACCAGUAUUGUCACAGAAGAUCUUUAUUGGUCCCGAUGCACUAGGUAUGACACCUAGAUCGGAAAUGAACUCUUUCAUCCAGACUCCUUCAUUUGCUGCUUCCGAAGCAACUAUGUAUUCCGCUUCACAUGUAGAUCCCACCACGACGCUUUGUUUAGAACUGUACCAACUGACAGCUCCACCGUUCAAUAUAAACACGUAUCCGGUUUGCGAUUUAGAAUCGUCCGGAUCAGUGUCAAAGCUUGCAUUGAUGUAACCAUUUACGACUAGCUCUUUUUCACCUCCAUAAACGAGAAACAUAUCCUUAGUCCUUUUCAGGUAUUUCAGGAUAUUCUUGAUCGCUGUCCAGUGAUCCACUUCUGGAUUACUUUGGUACCUCCCUGCCAAACUUAUUGCUAAGCAUACAUCAGGUCUGGUACACAACAUUGCAUACAUGAUAGAGCCUAUGGCUGAAGCAUAGGGAACAUCUUUCAUUUUCUCUCUAGCUUCUGCUCUGGUCGGGCAUUGAGUCUGACUCAACUUCACACCUUGUAAUACAGGCAAGAACCCUUUCUUUGCCUGAUCCAUUUUGAACUUUUUCAAAACUUUAUCAAGGUAUAUAUGUGCUUUGUGAAAGUCCAAUUAAGCGUCUUGAUCUAUCUCUAUAGAUCUUGAUGCCCAAUAUGUAAGCAGCUUCACCGAGGUCUUUCAUCAAAAAACUUUUAUUCAAGUAUCCCUUUAUGCUAUCCAUAAAUUCUAUAUCAUUUCAAAUUAACAAUAUGUCAUCUACAUAUAAUAUCAGAAAUGCUACAGAGCUCCCACUCACUUUCUUGUAAAUACAGGCUUCUCCAAAAGUCUGUAUAAAACCAUAUGCUUUGAUCACACUAUCAAAGCGUUUAUUCCAACUCCGAGAUGCUUGCACCAGUCCAUAAAUGGACUGCUGGAGCUUGCACACUUUGUUAGCAUCUUUUGGAUCGACAAAACCUUCCGGCUGCAUCAUAUAUAACUCUUCUUCCAGAAAUCCAUUCAGGAAUGCCGUUUUGACAUCCAUUUGCCAAAUUUCAUAAUCAUAAAAUGCGGAAAUUGCUAACAUGAUUCGGACGGACUUAAGCAUCGCUACUGGUGAGAAAGUCUCAUCAUAGUCAACCCCUUGAACUUGUCGAAAACCUUUCGCAACAAGUCGAGCUUUGUAGUCAGUUACAUUACCAUCAGCGUCAGUCUUCUUCUUGAAGAUCCAUUUAUUCUCGAUGGCUUGCCGAUCAUCGGGCAAGUCAACCAAAGUCCAUACUUUGUUCUCAUACAUGGAUCCCAUGUCAGAUUUCAUGGUCUCAAGCCAUUUUGCGGAAUCUUGGCUCAUCAUCGCUUCCUCAUAGUUCGUAGGUUCGUCAUGGUCAAGUAACAUGACUUCCAGAAUAGGAUUACCGUACCACUCUGGUGCGGAUCUUAUUCUGGUAGACCUACGAGGUUCGGUAGUAACUUGAUCCAAAGUUUCAUGAUCAUUAUCAUUAGCUUCCUCACUGAUUGGUGUAGUUGUCACAGGAACCGGUUCUUGUGAUGAACUACUUUCCAAUAAGGGAGCAGGUACAGUUACCUCAUCAAGUUCUACUUUCCUCCCACUCACUUCUUUCGAGAGAAACUCCUUCUCUAGAAAGGAUCCGAAUUUAGCAACAAAAAUCUUGCCCUCAGAUCUGUGAUAGAAGGUGUAUCCAAUAGUCUCUUUUGCGUAUCCUAUGAAGACACAUUUCUCCGAUUUUGGUUCGAGCUUAUCUGGUUGAAGUUUCUUCACAUAAGCAUCGCAGCCCCAAACUUUAAGAAACAACAACUUUGGUUUCUUGCCAAACCACAGUUCAUAAGGCGUCGUCUCAACGGAUUUUGAUGGUGCCCUAUUUAACGUGAAUGCGGCCGUCUCUAAAGCAUAACCCCAAAACGAUAGCGGUAAAUCAGUAAGAGACAUCAUAGAUCGCACCAUAUCUAGUAGAGUACGAUUACGACGGUUGGACACACCAUUUUGUUGUGGUGUUCCGGGUGGCGUGAGUUGUGAAAUUAUUCCGCAUUGCUUCAAAUGUAAACCAAACUUGUAACUCAAAUAUUCUCCUCCAUGAUCAGAUCGUAGGAAUUUUAUUUUCUUGUUACGAUGAUUUUCCACUUCACUUUGAAAUUCUUUGAACUUUUCAUAUGUUUCAGACUUGUGUUUCAUCAAGUAGAUAUACCCAUAUCUGCUCAAAUUAUCUGUGAAGGUGAGAAAAAAACGAUACCCGCCGCGAGCCUCAAUAUUCAUCGGACCACAUACAUUAGUAUGUAUGAUUUCCAACAAAUCAGUUGCUCGCUCCAUAGUUCUGGAGAAUGGCGUUUUAGUCAUCUUGCCCAUGAGGCACGGUUCGCAAGUACCAAGUGAUUCAUAAUCAAGUGACUCCAGAAGUCCAUCAGUAUGGAGUUUCUUCAUGUGCUUUACACCAAUAUGACCCAAACGGCAGUGCCACAAAUAAGUUGCACUAUCAUUAUCAACUCUGCAUCUUUUGGCUUUAACAUUAUGAAUAUGUGUAUCAUUACUAUCGAGAUUUAAUAAAAAUAGACCACUCUUCAAGGGUGCAUGACCAUAAAAGAUAUUACUCAUAUAAAUAGAACAACCAUUAUUCCCUGAUUUAAAUGAAUAACUAUCUCGCAUCAAACAAGAUCCAGAUAUAAUGUCCAUGCUUAACGCUGGCACCAAAUAACAAUUAUUCAGGUCUAAAACUAAUCCCGAUGGUAGAUGUAGAGGUAGCAUGCCGACCGCGAUCACAUCGACUUUGGAACCAUUUCCCACGUGCAUCGUCAUCUAGUCCUUAGCCAAUCUUCGCUUAAUCCGUAGUCCCUGUUUCGAGUUGCAAAUAUUAGCAACAGAACCAAUAUCAAAUACCCAGGUGCUAUGCGAGCAUUAGUAAGGUACACAUCAAUAACAUGUAUAUCACAUAUACCUUUGUUCACUUUGCCAUCCUUCUUAUCCGCCAAAUACUUGGGGCAGUUCCGCUUCCAGUGUCCAGUCUGCUUGCAGUAGAAGCACUCAGUCUCAUUCUUAGGUCCAGACUUGGGUUUCUUCUCUUGAGCAGCAACUUGUUUGCUGUUCUUCUUGAAGUUCCCCUUUUUCUUCCCUUUGCCCUUUUCUUGAAACUGGUGGUCUUAUUGACCAUCAACACUUGAUGCUCCUUCUUGAUUUCUACCUCCGCAGCUUUUAGCAUUGCGAAGAGCUCGGGAAUCCCUUGCAUAUUAUAGUUCAUCACGAAGCUCUUGUAGCUUGGUGGCAGUGAUUGAAGAAUUGUAUCAAUGACACUAUCAUCAGGAAGAUUAACUCCCAGUUGAAUCAAGUGAUUAUUAUACCCAGACAUUUUGAGUAUAUGUUCACUGACAGAACUAUUCUCCUCCAUCUUACAGCUAUAGAACUUAUUGGAGACUUCAUAUCUCUCAAUCCGGGCAUUUCCUUGAAAUAUUAACUUCAACUACUGGAAAAUCUCAUAUGCUCCAUGAUGUUCAAAACGUCGUUGAAGCCCCGGUUCUAAGCCGUAAAGCACGGCACACUGAACUAUCGAGUAGUCAUCAGCUUUGCUCUGCCAGAUGUUCUUAACGUCGUCAGUUGCAUCUGCAGCAGGCCUGGCACCCAACGGUGCUUCCAGGACGUAAUUCUUCUAUGCAGCAAUGAGGAUAAUCCUCAAGUUACGGACCCAGUCCGUGUAAUUGCUACCAUCAUCUUUCAACUUAGCUUUCUCAAGGAACGCAUUAAAAUUCAACGGAACAACAGCACGAGCCAUCUAUCUACAACAAACAUAGACAAGCAAAAUACUAUCAGGUACUAAGUUCAUGAUAAAUUUAAGUUCAAUUAAUCAUAUUACUUAAGAACUCCCACUUAGACAGACAUCUCUCUAGUCAUCUAAGUGAUCACGUGAUCCAAAUCAACUAAACCAUGUUCGAUCAUCACGUGAGAUGGAGUAGUUUCAAUGGUGAACAUCACUAUGUUGAUCAUAUCUACUAUAUGAUUCACGUUCGACCUUUUGGUCUCCGUGUUCCGAGGCCAUAUCUUUAUAUGCUAGGCUCGUCAAGUUUAACCUGAGUAUUCUGCGUGUGCAACAGUUUUGCACCCGUUGUAUUUGAACGUAGAGCCUAUCACACCCGAUCAUCACAUGGUGUCUCAGCACGAAGAACUUUCGCAACGGUGCAUACUCAGGGAGAACACUUCUUGAUAAUUAGUGAGAGAUCAUCUUAAAAUGCUACAGUCAAUCAAAGUAAGAUAAGAUGCAUAAAGGAUAAACAUCACAUGCAAUCAAUAUAAGUGAUAUGAUAUGGCCAUCAUCAUCUUGUGCUUGUGAUCUUCAUCUCUGAAGCAUCGUCGUGAUCACCAUCAUCACCGGCGCGACACCUUGAUCUCCAUCGUAGCAUCAUUGUCGUUUACGCCAUCUAUUGCUUCUACGACUAUCGCUACCACUUAGUGAUAAAGUAAAGCAAUUACAGGGCGUUUGCAUUUCAUACAAUAAAGCGACAACCAUAUGGCUCCUGCCAGUUGCUGAUAACUUCGGUUACAAAACAUGAUCAUCUCAUACAAUAAAAUAUAGCAUCACGUCUUGACCAUAUCACAUCACAACAUGCCCCGCAAAAACAAGUUAGAGGACCUCUACUUUGUUGUUGCAAAUUUUACGUGGCUGCUACGGGCUGAGAAAGAACCGUUCUUACCUACGCAUCAAAACAACAACGAUAGUUCAUCAAGUUAGUGCUGUUUUAACCUUCGCAAGGACCGGGCGUAGCCACACUCAGUUCAACUAAAGUUGGAGAAACAUACACCCGCCAGCCACCUGUGUGCAAAGCACGUCGGUAGAACCAGUCUCGCGUAAGCGUACGCGUAAUGUCGGUCCGGGUCGCUUCAUCCAACAAUACCGCCGAACCAAAGUAUGACAUGCUGGUAAGCAGUAUGACUUGUAUCGCCCACAACUCACUUGUGUUCUACUUGUGCAUAUAACAUCUACGCAUAAAACCUGGCUCGGAUGCCACUGUUGGGGAACGUAGUAAUUUCAAAAAAAUUCCUACGCCCACGCAAGAUCAUGGUGAUGUAUAGCAACGAGAGGGGAGAGUGUUGUCCAUGUACCCUCGCAGACCGAAAGCGGAAGCGUUAGAACAACGCGGUAAUGUAGUCAUACGUCUUCACGGCCCGACCGAUCAAGCACCGAAACUACGACACCUCCGAGUUCUAGCACACGUUCAGGUCGAUGAUGAUCCUCGUACUCCGAUCCAGCAGAAUGUCGGGGAAGAGUUUCGUCAGCACGACAGCGUGGUGACGAUCUUGAUGUUCUACCGUCGCAGGGCUUUGCCUAAGCACCGCUACAAUAUUAUUGAAGACUAUGGUGGAGGGGGGCACCGCACACGGCUAAGAGAUCAAGAGAUCAAUUAUUGUGUCAUAGAGGUGCCCCCCUGCCCCCGUAUAUCAAGGAGCAAUGGGCGAGGGGGCGGCCGGCCAAGGAGGGGGCGCGUCAUGGGGAGUCCUACUCCCACCGGGAGUAGGACUCCCUCCUUCCUUGUUGGAAUAGGAGAGGGGAAGGAAAGGGAGAGGAGAAGGAAAGAGGGGGGGCCGGCCCCCCUUGCCCUAAACCAAUUUGGGUUGGGCCUUGGGGGGGCGCCCCACACUCCCCUUGCUGCCCUCUAUUUCCACUAAGGCCCAUGUAGGCCCAUUAAGCUCCCGGGGGGUUCCGGUAACCUCCCGGUACUCCGGUAAAAUCCCUAUUUCACCCGGAACACUUCCGACAUCCAAAUAUAGGCUUCCAAUAUAUCAAUCUUCAUGUCUCGACCAUUUCGAGACUCCUCGUCAUGUCCGUAAUCUCAUCCCGGACUCCGAACAAACUUCGGUACAUCAAAACUCAUAAACUGAUAAUAUAACUGUCAUCGAAACCUUAAGCGUGCGGACCCUACGGGUUGGAGAACUAUGUAGACAUGACCGAGACUCGUAUCCGGUCAAUAACCAAUAGCAGAACCUGGAUGCUCAUAUUGGCGCCUACAUAUUCUACAAAGAUCUUUAUCGGUCAAACCGCAUAACAACAUACGUUGUUCCCUUUGUCAUCGGUAUGUUACUUGCCUGAGAUUCGAUCAUCGGUAUCCUAAUACCUAGUUCAAUCUCGUUACCGACAAGUCUCUUUACUCGUUACGUAAUGCAUCAUUCCGUAACUAACUUAUUAGCUACAUUGCUUGCAAGGAUUAUAUUGAUGUGCCUUACCGAGAGGGCCCAGAGAUACCUCUCCGACAAUCGGAGUGACAAAACCUAAUCUCGAAAUACGCCAACUCAACGUGUACCUUUGGAGACACCUGUAGAGCUCCUUUAUAAUCACCCAGUUACAUUGUGACGUUUGGUAGCACACAAAGUGUUCUUCUGGUAAACGGGAGUUGCAUAAUCUCAUAGUUAUAUGAACUUGUAUAAUUCAUGAAGAAAGCAAUAGCAACAUACUAAACGAUCAAGUGCUAAGCUAACGGAAUGGGUCAAGUCAAUCACAUCAUUCUCCUAAUGAUGUGAUCCCGUUAAUCAAAUGACAACACAUAUCUAUGGUUAGGAGACAUAACCAUAUUUGAUUAAUGAGCUAGUCAAGUAGAGGCAUACUAGUGACAUUAAGUUUGUCUAUAUAUUCACACAUGUAUCAUGUUUCCGGUUAAUACAAUUCUAGCCUGAAUAAUAAACAUUUAUCAUGAUAUGAGGAAAUAAAUAAUAACUUUAUUAUUGCCUCUAGGGCAUAUUUCCUUCACUCUUACCAAAGAAGAGAAGGAAAUCUUCUUUGAAUGCCUGCUUAGUAUGAAGGUCCCAACUGGCUUCUCGUUGAAUAUAAAGGGAAUAAUAAAUAUGGCAGAGAAAAAGUUUCAGAACCUAAAGUCUCAUGACUGCCACGUGAUUAUGACGCAACUGCUUCCGGUUGCAUUGAGGGGGCUUCUACCGGAAAACGUCCGAUUAGCCAUUGUGAAGCUAUGUGCAUUCCUCAAUGCAAUCUCUCAGAAGGUGAUCGAUCCAUAAAUCGUACCAAGGCUAAGGAGUGAUGUGGUGCAAUGUCUUGUCAGUUUCGAGCUGGUGUUCCCACCAUCCUUCUUCAAUAUCAUGACGCACGUCCUAGUUCAUCUAGUUGACGAGAUUGUCAUUUUGGGCCCCGUAUUUCUACACAAUAUGUACCCCUUUGAGAGGUUCAUGGGAGUCCUAAAGAAAUAUGUCUAUAACCGCGCUAGGCCAGAAGGAAGCAUCUUCAUGGGCCAUCAAACAGAGGAUGUCAUUGGGUUUUGUGUUGACUUCAUUCCUAGCCUUAAGAAGAUAGGUCUCCCUAAAUCAUGGUAUGAGGGGAGACUGACUGGAAAAGGCACGCUUGGAGGGGAGACAAUAAUAUGCAGGGACGGAUAUUCUUGGUCUCGAGCACACUACACAGUUCUAGAAAACUCUACCUUGGUGUUAUGUCGAUGAACACAAGAACAGUAUGCGCUCCAAACACCCGGAGCAGUGCGACAACUGGAUUACAUGUGAACACAUCAGGACUUUCAGCAGUUGGUUGGAAACACGUCUCAGAGAUGAAAACACUAUUUGUGAGGAGUUGUACUCGUUGUCCAGGGGACCAUCUUCGACUAUAAUGAUUUGGGAAGGAUACGAGAUAAAUGGGAAUACAUUUUACACGAUCGCCCAAGAUCAAAAGAGCACCAACCAAAAUAGCGGUGGCUGCUUUGAUGCAGCCACCGAGAGGGGAAAGGACACAUAUUAUGGUUACAUAGUCGACAUAUGGGAACUUGACUACGGAGUAGAUUUUAAGGUCCCUUUGUUUAAAUGCAACUGGGUCAAUCUGUCAGGAGGCAGGGUACAGGUAGACCCACAGUACGGAAUGACAACAGUGGAUCUGAACAAUCUUGGGUACAUUGACGAACUGUUCGUCCUAGCCAAUGAUGUGGCACAGGUUAUCUAUGUGAAGGACAUGUCUACCAAACCGAGAAAAAGAAAAAAAUAAGGAAGCGAAUACAUCAUACGAUGAGCCAAAGCGCCACAUAGUUCUUUCAGGAAAAAGGGACAUCGUGGGAGUGGAGGGCAAGACAGACAUGUCCGAAGAUUAUGAAAAGUUUCAUGAAAUUCCUCCCUUCAAAGUCAAGGCUGACCCAAGCAUCCUGAUAAAUGAUGAAGAUUAUCCAUGGUUACGGCGCAAUAAGGAAAGGACACAAGCAAAGAAAAAGUGAAGACUUUGUCCACAACUAUUAUGAUGAUACCAUGCCAACUUUCAACCUUUUCGUAGUUCAUUUGAAAUGUCUAUUGUAACAGACAAGUUUCCGUAUGAAAUCCUGAUACUUUGAAAGAGAUUGUCCGUUUUGUACAUGAAGUGCAUCCAGUUUUUGCCGUAACCCAGUCAACUUUCUUGCACAUGCUAUGUGGAUGAAAUGAUGAUACCAUGCCAACUUCCAACCUUUUCAGAGUUCAUUUGAAAUGCUUUUCAAUUUUAGGGUCUUAUAGCUCAAAAUAAUCACUAGAUGCAUGAAAAAUAACAAAUGAAGUCAGAAAGGGUUGAAAAUUGAUGAUGUGGCUUUGAAUGGUGCAUUUUGAACACACAAAAAGUCAGGAGUUCAAAUAAGUUUAAAAAAAUAAAAUCCCUGUGUAACAGAUGAGUUUCCGUAUGAAACCCUGAUACUUCGAAAGAGAUUGUCCAUUUUGUACACGAAGUAUAUAUAUCCAAUUUUUCCCAUAACCCUCUCAACUUUUUAGCACAUGCUAUGUGGGUGAAAUGAUGAUACCAUGCCAACUUUCAAUCUUUUCAGAGUUGAUUUGAAAUGAUUUUCAAUUUUAAGGUCUUAUAGCUCAAAAAAAACCCAGUAAAUGAUGUUAUAAAACUCUAAUAGCAAAAGGAAUCAACUAAAAAGAUUUUUUUUGAUAGAAACUAAAAUAACAAAAUCUGUUUUUCAAUAUAAUGAUAAAACGCAGUAAUAUUAAAUAGCAGGAAAAAGAAACACUCCAAAUAUAUUUUUAUAGUGAAGUUAUUCACAAACUAGUGAUUCACACAAAUAUCAAAGAAUUGAAAUUUAAACUAUUCAAAUUUGGAAACUAAUUGAGUAAAAGAAAGAUUGUAAUUAUUCUGAGCUAAAAGAAAAAAGAACAAAAAAAUAAAGCAAAAAUCAAAAGAAAAUAAAUAAUUCCCACCGCACCGCGCUGUGCGAGGCCUUUAGUCCCGGUUGGUGCCAUCAAUCGGGACUAAAGGGGUGCAUUGGUCCCGGUUGGUGGCACAAACCGGUACCAAUGCCCCCCCCCCUUUAGUCCCGGUUGGUGCCACCAACCGGGAUUAAAGGUUGCAUUCGUCCCGAUUUGUCUCACGAACCGGGACCAAUGCAUUGUCUAUAUAACUAGCACUCGUCAAAAUUUCAUCCAGUUCGUUCUUCUCCGCGCCCGAUGCCGCCAGGCUACCCUCUCCGCCUCGCCAUCGCUGUCGUCGCCCCGCACCGCCCCAACGCCAUCACCGCCCCGCGCCCCGUGCGCCGCAACGCCACUGGCCCCUGCCCAUCGCCGCCCCGCCCCUCACCGUCGACCGUCGCCACGCCGCCCCUCAUGCACCGUCGCCGUCGCCGUCCCCUGCCCGUCGCCCUCGCCGCGCCCCUCACGCCGUCGCCAUCCCGUGAGGUUGAAUUUUGCUAAUUUAAUUUGAUGUGUAGUAAAUUUAGACGUGUAGUAAUUUAGAUGUGUAGUUAAUUGAGUUAGAUUUUGUUAGAUUUUUUUGAAGUUCAUAGAUUUUUUUUGUUAGAUGUGUAGUAAUUUAGAUGUGUAGUUCAUAUUUUUUUUCAUAUUGUGUUAGAUUUUUUUUCUGUUAAUAGAUUUUUUGGUGAUAUUAUUGUUGAAUAUGCAUGUUUGUAUGUUCAUAUAUAUGUAAACAUUGAAUAUGUCAAUAUUUUAUAAUUUUUUUUGUUCAUAGAAUUUUUAUGAUUUUUUUCUGUUGUAAUUUUGUUCAUAGAAUUUUAAUGAUUUUUUUGUUCAUAGAAUUUUUCUUUGUCAAUUUAUGUAUAUGUUCAUAUUGUGUAUGUAUAGGAAAAUUGUGUAUGAUCAAAGUCAUUUAUGAAUAUGUUCAUAUUUAGAAGAGAGGAAAAAGGAAAAUAAGAAGAGAAAGUGUUUAAUAUAAUUAGUUAGAAAAAUAAUAAAAUUAUAGUUAAACUAGUUUAUUUUAGUAAGUACUACUUUAUUUAAUUUAUAGUAAGUGAUUAAUAUAUAGUUGAACUAGCUAGUUGAUUUAAUAAACUACUUUAUUUUACUAUAGAAGUAGUUUAUUUUUAGUAAGUAGUACUUUAUUUAUUUAUAGUAAGUGCUUAGUAGUUGAACUAGUUGAUUUAAUUAAUAAAACUACUUUAUUUUACUAUAUAUAGAAGUAGUUCCCGCAUCGACGUCGAUGAUGCCUAUCUCGCAUCCUCGUCGUCGACUCGGUGGUGGAGGCCUGCUUGAUCAGGGCCAUGUCCGGGAUUGGGCUCCGUCGGGCUGGUAUUGGGAGGUCCUACCUUCCGGGGGCGUAGGUUGGUGAGGAGCCAGCCCGUUGUUGAUCCGAUCCUUGUUUGGUGGCGGUCGCGUGGGCCAGUGACGGUGCCGAGGCUUCCGGACACCGCGGAGGUGGUACGUCACCGUGUCAGCGAGGAGGACGAGCACGUUCAUCGCUACAUGGUUGCGUUGGUGGGCAGGUUCGACAAUACCUGGCAGGUUCUUCAGGGAUCUCACUGGAGCUAUGAUCCUGUGAUGGUUCCAUAUCUUUGGGUGUCCACCGCCCGCGACGAUACCCGUCCGGCGCUAUGGUUCUAGCUGUAUUAGCGAUGCUAUAUACAUAAUAGUAAUCGAGGAGUAUUAGUGAUAAUAUUCGAUGAUGUACGGACACAAGAGAUGAUGUACUUUUGCUUAUAAUUGAAUGCGUGCUAAUUUGAAUACUACUUUAUUAUACGAUUUGGUUUUGCUUAUUGAAUGCUCAUAUUGAAAAAAUACUCCUACUUUGAAUGCUAAAAUUGAAGAGCACUCUAUGCAGAAAUCUAGGAGCCCCCUCCAUCAUCCAUGCCGUCGUGGGGGGUAGCUUCUCCUUCAUUCCUGUGUGCUAGACAAUUUGGUGUAAUAAUACACUCGAGAAUGAAAGGAGGAGCUACCAUCACCGAUAGUCAACCCGUGAUUAAUAAUAAUGCUCUAAUUUAGGUUUUUUAGAACAUAUAUUUAAUUGUACAAGUUUCAUAUUUGAAUUAUGAACAUAGGCCGGAAAUGCCGUACUCGGACGACGAAAACCGCCCGGGGGAGUGCGACUGGUGCCACGACGACUGAGGUAUGUGUGACUGGUUCCUUGAGCUGGACGAAGAUCGGCGCUUCAGCAUCAAGCUCGAGGAGACCUUCGAUGUUCAUACGGUACGCAAUGACGACAAUAGUUUUUUUCAUAAUUAAGCACGACUUCAACUAUUUUAACGUGUAUUUUUCAUCUUUUCCAAUUCGACUAGCUUAUCCCAUGCUAUGCAAGAUGCUAUGUCUUGGAGAGGAUGGGUUUUGAAGACCAUGAAAGUAUGGAAACCAAAAAAAUUCACCUAAGGACCCAUCAUGGUGUUGAAGUAAAACUGUACAAUGCUGAGAGUGUAACCCAUUUUGGUUGCAAAAAUUGGGAAGCACUUUGCAAGAUGUAUGGUUUUGAUGAGGGUAUGCUUGUCACCAUGGAUCUUGGUGAUCCUACAAUCCAGCAAGACAAUAUGGACAUUUGGGUUCUUGUGGAUACACUUCCAAUUCUUCCCCAUGUGAGCUUCUCAAACAUAGUUAUUAAGUAAUAUAGAUUGUUUAUUUCAAAAUAGUUGACAACUUAUUUCCACUCACAGCUUAUUUUCAUUCUUCAAAGAAUGUGCGGAAGAUGGUAGACAAAACCCACUACACUGAUGGCUCCAAAUUAACUUAUAAGGAGAAAAAUCAUCUAAUCACAUUUUGUACUGAUCUUGAGAAUUACAAUAUCUACAAUCGAACUCCUCAACAUUACGGUCAAUACGUGCCACUAGUGCACGUGUUGAACUACGUAACUACCAUGGAGAUACCCUGGUAAGAUUUUUUACUAUUAUGACAUCCGUGCAUCUUUUUGCAUACUUGUAAAACUAGUACAUCAUUGCUAACUACGAAGUUAUUACUAUGUUUUCAACAGAUAAUCCCGAAUGAUUGUGUGCCUCAUCUGAUGUAUACGCACGGUCGCCUUGAUGUUUUGAACAUACAACCAGGUCGUGCUACGAAUCUCAACUACCCAUACCGGAUUUCUAAAAGAAGUGGAGACAUGACAAUUAAAGAAUGGAAAAAAAUGUAUGGACAGUCGUAAGGAGCUUCUUGGAAGCAAAAGGAAGCGAAGCGCUAGAAUUGAAGAUAGGAUGAUCUCCAUUCUUCAUAAUGGAGAGUCAGGGUCUAUAUUGUUUUAUGCUAUUUAACCUUAAGGGUGUUUAGGUCCUACCUGAUACUGAUGAUCAUGUGCUAAGAACAAUUAUGUAGGGUUGGGUUCGAUGACUAUGAGGAUGAUGAUCGUAUGACUUAUUAUUAAUAACGAGUAGAAGUUGUAUGAUGAUGCAUGAUUAGUAGGACUUGUUAUUAUAUAUGAUGAUAUAUGAUGCGAACAUGAGUUAUUAUACAUCAGUGGGUGAAAUGAACAUAGCAGUAGCGUUGGUAAACCAAGGACGAAGAUAUAAGAGAUGACACUUCUCUCUAUUAGCUAGCUAAUAACAACCUAAAUUAACCCCCCAAACCCCCAAACCAGCCACUUUAAAAAACACCUCAGCUCCAGCCAGCUGCUGACGCGUGGAAGCCUAUUGGUCCCGGUUUAUGUCACCAACCGGAACCAAAGGCCCCCUUGCCUGGGCUGCCCGCAGUGGCCACGUGGAGGCCCAUCUGUCCCGGUUCGUGUAAGAACCGAGACUAAAGGGGGAGGGCAUUAGUACCGACCUUUUUGUCCCGGUUCUUAAACUGGGACAAAAGUCCCUUACGAACCAGGACAAAUGCCCUGUUUUCACUAGUAGAAAAAGGGUCAAAUGUGAGACACAUUAGUCCCGGUUUGUAACAGAACCGGCACUAAUGUGUCCAUUAGUGCCGGUUCCAAUGGCUAGCCGAGAGGAGCUCUUUAGUACCGGUUCGUGGCAAACCUUUAGCACCGGUUCGUGCCACGAACCGGUACUAAUGAGAGUGGUGGCAGGAUGUUGUCAGAGUGGGGCCCUUCCAGCACCUUUAGUACCGAUUCAUGGCACGAACCGGUACUAAAGGUCGUCCUAUAUAAACCCUUCAUCCACCCGCACUCUGUUCUUCCCCCUUUCCCCUCUCCCUCUCCUCUGUUCUUCCCUUCUUCCUCUCGAGUUCAUCACAAAAUUUGCCCCAAAUUUGUCAAGAUUUGCAGGCCCUCAUCCAUUCAAAUGAUCACCAAGGUUAGCAACUUUGUCCUUUCAUCUCUCAUUGCUAGAUUAGCUCUUGCAUUGGUUUAUAUAGUGAUUAAUUGUGGGUUUUAGUAAUUUGGGAGGAAUUAUAUGUGGUAGUAUUUGAUUUAUAUGCAAUUUGAGUUCAAAAUAACACUUAGUUUGCAUAUGUAGGUGUGGUUUACUUAGUGCCUUCUAAAUCUCCGUCGUAACCACCGUCGCUCGCCCGCACCGUCCCGUCGCCGGCACCACCUUGUGGUGAGCCUCUUGUUCAUGAAAUUUUAUAUAAAAAAUUGAUGUUUGUGUGAUUUGGAUAUAUAGUUACUCGUAUAAUAAUUAUCUUACCCGUACGUUGUUUGUUAUACAUAGUGCCAUGGUUUUGAUAUCCAUCCCCGUCGGCCCUCGUCCUUGUUAUGAUUCGGAUGUGGUAUAUUCUCUUUUAAAACUAUUUGUUGCAUUUCGUGUUUAUGACAAAUUAUGCCUAUCAAGUUGACAUAGAUAUUUUUAUCUAGGAGGUAUGUGAACCAGAAAUUCCAAACGACCCUAUUGUCGAGAGGUUAAAUUUAGUUGAAAGAGAAAAUGAGUACUUGAAAGAAAAAUUGAAAAGAAUUGAGGGGGCGAAGAUGGAAUUGGAGUUGCAUGUUGCCGAUGUCGUUGAUGAUCACAAGAUCAAGAUGGAGAAAAUGCGCUUGAAGAUUAGAAAGAUUAGAAAAUAUGCCAUCGAUAGUGAGGCUUGGUAUCAUUAUGCUGUUGGAUCAAUUGUUACCUUAGUUGCGAUCUUGAUCGCAUUUGUUGUUGCAUUUAAAUGCUUUAGCUGGAGAGUUAUUUGUUUGUUGCAUUUAAGUGUUGUAUGAACUUUAUGUAUGAACUUGUAUUAAUUUGGUCUAUUCGGUGUUGUGUAAUGAAGAUGAGCCGGCAAUGGAUGUACGAUGACCGAUGCUCUCCCAGUUCGUUGAGGGCAUGCAUACUUUUCUGCUUGCGGCUCAGGCAAACAAGCGGACGGAUGGUUUUAUGCCUUUUCCAUGUGCUGGCUGUAAGAAUGGUCGCAAUUACUCUACAUCAAGAACCAUUCAUGUCCACCUGUUUGAGUCCGGUUUCAUGCCCCACUAUAAUGUUUGGACCAAGCACGGAGAAAGAGGGGUUAUGAUGGAAGACAAUGAAGAAGAAGAGGACGACGACAGCUAUCCUGGCCAUGGGUUCCCUGAAUACGAUGAUACUACAAUGAGGGAAGAAGCUAAGCCGGUAAUGCGGGAAGAAGCUGAGCCGACAAUGCGGGAAGAAGCUGAAGAAGAGGCAUCAGAUGAGCCCGUUCAUGAUCUAGGUCGGGCCAUUGCCGAUGCAAAGAGAAACUGCGCAAGUGAUUUGGAGAAGAAGAAGUUGCAGCACAUGUUAGAGGAUCACAAAAAAUUGUUGUACCCGAAUUGCGUAGGUGACAAGAAAAAGCUGGGCACCACACUGGAAUUGCUGCAAUGGAAGGCAGAGAAUGGUGUAUAUGACAAGGGAUUUGGAAAGUUGCUGGUAAUGAUAAAGGAUAUGCUUCCAAAGGACAACGAAUUGCCCGAGAGUACGUACGAAGCAAAGAAGGUUGUCUGCCCUCUAGGGUUAGAGGUGCAGAAGAUACAUGCAUGCCCUAAUGAUUGCAUCCUCUACCGCGGUGAGUACGAGGAUUUGAACGCUUGCCCAGUAUGUGGUGCAUUGCGCUAUAAGAUCAGCCGCGAUGAGCAUGGUGAUGUCGAGGGCGAGUGCCCCAGGAAGAAGAUUCCUGCCAAGGUGAUGUGGUAUUCUCCUAUAAUACCACGGUUGAAACAUUUGUUCCAAAACAAAGAGCAUGCCAAGGCGAUGCGAUGGCAUAGAGAAGACCGUAAGAAAGACGGAAAGUUGAGAGUACUCGCUGACGGGUCGCAGUGGAGAAAAAUCGAAAGAAAGUACGGGAAGGAGUUUGCAAAUGACGCAAGGAGCGUAUGGUUUGGUCUAAGCGCAGAUGGCAUUAAUCCUUUUGGGGAGCAGAGCAGCAACCAUAGCACCUGGCCUGUGACUCUAUGUUUGUAUAACCUUCCUCCUUGGUUGUGCAUGAAGCGGAAGUUCAUUAUGAUGCCAGUGCUCAUCCAAGGCCCUAAGCAACCCGGCAAUGACAUUGAUGUGUACCUAAGGCCACUAGUUGAAGAACUCUUACAACUGUGGAAUGGAACAGGUGUACGUGCGUGGGAUGAGCACAUGGGGGAAGAAUUUGACCUAAAGGCGUUGCUGUUCGUGACCAUCAAUGAUUGGCCUGCUCUCAGUAACCUUUCAGGACAGACAAACAAGGGAUACCUCGGAUGCACACACUCUUUAGAUGAUACCGACAGUAUAUAUUUGAAUAGUUGUAAGAAGAAUGUGUACCUGGGACAUCGUCGAUUUCUUCCGAGCAGGCAUCCCGUAAGAAAGAAAGGCAAGCAUUUCAAAGGUGAGGCGGAUCACCGGACGAAGCCUCGCCACCGUACUGGUGCUGAUGUACAUGAUAUGGUCAACGAUUUGAAGGUGAUAUUUGGAAAGGGUCCUGGCGGACAACCUGUUCCAAAGGACGCUGACGGACGCGCAUCCAUGUGGAAGAAGAAAUCUAUAUUUUGGGACCUGCCAUAUUGGAAAGACCUAGAGGUCCGCUCCGCAAUCAACGUGAUGCACGUGACGAAGAAUCUUUGCGUGACCCUGCUUGGCUUCUUGGGCGUGUAUGGGAAGACAAAAGAUACACCUGAGGCAUGGGAGGACCAGCAACGUAUGCACGGAGAAGACGGCAUACAUCAGGGUCAUGCAAGCUACGCUCUUACCAAAGAAGAGAAGGAAAUCUUCUUUGAAUGCCUGCUCAGUAUUAAGGUACCGUCUGGCUUCUCGUCGAAUAUAAAGGGAAUAAUAAACAUGGCAGAGAAAAAGUUCGAGAACCUAAAGUCUCAUGACUGCCACGUGAUUAUGACGCAACUGCUUCCGGUUGCAUUGAGGGGGCUUCUACCGAAAAACGUUCGAUUAGCCAUUGUGAAGCUAUGUGCAUUUCUCAAUGCAAUCUCUCAGAAGGUAAUCGAUCCAGAAAUCAUACCAAGGUCACAGAAUGAUUUGGUGCAAUGUCUUGUCAGUUUCGAGUUGGUGUUCCCACCAUCCUUCUUCAACAUCAUGACACACGUCCUAGUUCACCUAUGCGAAGAGAUUAACAUUUUGGGUCCUGUAUUUCUACACAAUAUGUUCCCCUUUGAGAGGUUCAUGGGAGUCUUAAAGAAAUAUGUUCAUAACCGUGCUAGGCCAGAAGGAAGCAUCUCCAAGGGCCAUCAAAAUGAGGAGGUCAUUGAGUUUUGUAUUGACUUUAUUCCUGACCUUAAGCCGAUUGGUGUUCCUGAAUCGCGGCAUAAGGGCAGACUGGAUGGAAAAGGCACGCUAGGAGGGGAAAAAAUAAUAUGUAUGGACGGACAUUCUCUCACUGAAGCACACUACACAGUUCUACAGAAUUCCGCCUUGGUGGCUCCGUAUAUGGAUGAACACAAGAAUUUGCUACGCUCCAAACACCCGGAGCGGUCUGAUGACUGGAUUACAAGUGAACAAACCAGGAGUUUCGCCAGCUGGUUGCAGACACGUACCAUGCAUGACACCCCUAUUGAAGAUGACCUGUACUUGCUGUCCCAGUUACCAUCUUCGAAUAUAAUGACUUUCAAAGGGUACGAGAUAAAUGGUAAUACAUUUUACACGAUCGCCCAAGAUAAGAAGAGCACCAACCAAAAUAGUGGUGUCCGCUUUGAUGCAGAAACCAAGACGGGAAAGGAAACAUAUUAUGGUUAUAUACAGGACAUAUGGGAACUUGACUAUCGACGUGGUUUAAAGGUCCCCUUGUUUCGGUGCAAAUGGGUCAAUAUGACACGAGGCGGGGUAACGGAAGACCCGCAGUACAGAAUGACAACAGUGGAUCUCAACAAUCUUGCGUAUGCAGACGAACCAUUCGUCCUAGCCAAUGAUGUGGCACAGGUUUUCUAUGUGAAGGACAUGUCUACCAAGCCAAGAAAAAGAAAAGAUAAGGAAGCGAAUGCAUCGUACGAUGAGCCAAAGCGGCACAUAGUUCUUUCUGGGAAGAGAAACAUCGUGGGAGUGGAUGACAAGACAGACAAGUCAGAAGAUUAUACAAAGUUUGAUGAAAUUGCUCCAUUCACAGUUAAUAUUGACCCGAGCAUCCCGUUAAAUAAUGAAGAUUUUCCAUGGUUACGGCGCAAAGGGACACACGCGAAGAAAAAGUUUCACACCCAAAGAUCUGGGAUGUGAUUGGCUUCACUAGCUAUCAUCACUUUCUUCUGUGUUUCGCACCCAGAGGGGAAUCUCUGUAAUAGUUAGGGUAGUUAUGUGUUUUGGCAUUUGAAACGCGAAGAAAUUUUAUGUGCAAACAAAUUCACACUAAUUUCAAAUAAUUCAAAAUUUAAACUAUUCAAAUUUGAAACUACGGGCACUAACAGAAAGUUUUUAAUUUUUUGUACCUAAAGAGGCUAUGUCAGCCUCCGGUCAGGCUAUGGCCCCACCAUCACCAUUUAGUACCGGUUCGUACCACAAACCGGUACUAAUGAGGUUGUGUCAGGUAAGGCUGGGGCCCCACGAGCACCUUUAGUACCGGUUAAUGGAUGAACCAGACGUAAGCUGUUUUUUAGUCUCACCUCGCGAAGUGAGAGGGACUAGGAGCGGUUUAUAAACCCUGAGUGCAGAGACGAUGAAGAAGAGGAUCAAUGCUCACGUUGCUUAGCUUCAAGCCUUCAGUAAUACGGUAGACUGCACGGAGCUAUGCGCAGUGCAGUUUACACUAUUCCGAAAGGCUUGAAGCAAAUUAACGAGCAUUGCACCUCUUUUUUAUUUUUAAUAACUUAUUACAACUUUCGACUUCUUUUGUUAUGGCAAAAACUAAUUGCACGUCAACAUUUCUUUUUUUUAAGUUAUAACUCCAGACUUUGACCAUCAAGUUUUGCAGAAAAGAAAAAAUAGCAGAAAAGAAAGAAAAACUAUAGCUGAAAAGAAAAAAACUAUAUAAAAAAACUACUCAAAAAUAAAUAGAAGAAAAUAAAUAUAGCAGAAAAGAAAAAACUACUCAGAAAUAAAUAGAAGAAAAAAUAAAGCAGAAAAGAAAAAAAAAUUAUAUUUGCUAUUUUUCAACCAUUUACAAAAUGACCAUGAAAUUGAAAAUCACUACAAAAUGAAAUCUGAAAAUGUUGAAUUUUGGCAAACUAGAUAUAACAGAAAAGAAAAAACUAUACAAAAAACUGCGCAAAAAUAAAUAGAAGNNNNNNNNNNNNNNNNNNNNNNNNNNNNNNNNNNNNNNNNNNNNNNNNNNNNNNNNNNNNNNNNNNNNNNNNNNNNNNNNNNNNNNNNNNNNNNNNNNNNNNNNNNNNNNNNNNNNNNNNNNNNNNNNNNNNNNNNNNNNNNNNNNNNNNNNNNNNNNNNNNNNNNNNNNNNNNNNNNNNNNNNNNNNNNNNNNNNNNNNNNNNNNNNNNNNNNNNNNNNNNNNNNNNNNNNNNNNNNNNNNNNNCAGAGUUUCGGCCCACAAGCCUGCUAUAUAGAGGAGUUCGAAGUGAUAGCCGUGGCUGGGUUUAUAAACCAGUGCGGCUGCCCUUCGCCCGGCGAGGUGGGACUAAACUUUGGGGUGGCAGCGCGAGGCCUUUAGUACCGGUUGGAGCCACCAACCGGUACUAAAGGGUGGUCUUUAGUACCGGUUGGUGGCUCCAACCGGUACUAAAGGCCUCGUCUUCCUGCCGCUUGGCCUGGCCAAAACAGGCCUUUAGUACCGGUUGGUGGCUCCAACCGGUACUAAAGGUGCCUUCUAUAUAUACACUUACGAAAUUUUCAUUCUCCCUUUGUUUCUUCCUCUGUUUNNNNNNNNNNNNNNNNNNNNNNNNNNNNNNNNNNNNNNNNNNNNNNNNNNNNNNNNNNNNNNNNNNNNNNNNNNNNNNNNNNNNNNNNNNNNNNNNNNNNNNNNNNNNNNNNNNNNNNNNNNNNNNNNNNNNNNNNNNNNNNNNNNNNNNNNNNNNNNNNNNNNNNNNNNNNNNNNNNNNNNNNNNNNNNNNNNNNNNNNNNNNNNNNNNNNNNNNNNNNNNNNNNNNNNNNNNNNNNNNNNNNNNNNNNNNNNNNNNNNNNNNNNNNNNNNNNNNNNNNNNNNNNNNNNNNNNNNNNNNNNNNNNNNNNNNNNNNNNNNNNNNNNNNNNNNNNNNNNNNNNNNNNNNNNNNNNNNNNNNNNNNNNNNNNNNNNNNNNNNNNNNNNNNNNNNNNNNNNNNNNNNNNNNNNNNNNNNNNNNNNNNNNNNNNNNNNNNNNNNNNNNNNNNNNNNNNNNNNNNNNNNNNNNNNNNNNNNNNNNNNNNNNNNNNNNNNNNNNNNNNNNNNNNNNNNNNNNNNNNNNNNNNNNNNNNNNNNNNNNNNNNNNNNNNNNNNNNNNNNNNNNNNNCGCCGUCGCCCGGCUGUGAGCUCUCCCCCUCUAACCCCUCUCCCUCGCACCCGGCGGCCACCAUGGGCGCCGCCCCUCCCCGAGCCCAUACACACACACACAAGCAUGAUGAACACACACACACACACAUAUGUAUGAAUUAAUGCAUGUAUAUAUUAGUAUAUACGUAUUUUGUAUGUUUAAUUAGUUUAGAUUAUUUAGAUUAUUAUUUUUUCACUAUUAUAUAUGUAUGAAUGCAUGUUAGAUGGAUAUAGUGUUUUAUUAGUAUGGAAAUUUUUUAUAUAAUGUUGUUUUUCAGUUUUUUAAUGGAUGUAUAGAAGUUGUGUUUUCUGUUUUUAGUGUUAGAUGCUUAAUUAGUAUGAAAUAGUAUAUAGAUUUUUGAAAUAGUAGAAAUGUUAGAAAUUUUAGUUAUCAAAAUCCAAUCAUUAAAAAAAUGUUACUUUUUGCGGGCAUAUAGCUAGUAUUUGUUCUCGACGAUGCCCGGCCCGCAUCCUCGCCGUCGACCCGUCCACGAUGACGUCCAGCCGACCCAUGUCCGGGACUGGGCUCCGCCGGGCUGGCACUGGGAGGUGCUGCCUGGAGGAGCGCGCCGCUUGAUGAGGAACCCGGCCCCGGGUCCCGUCGUCGACCCUAAUCUCGUUUGGUGGCGUUCGCGUGGGCCAGUUUCGGUGCGGAGGGACCCGGCCCCGCCGGAGGUGGUACGUCGCCGUGUCAGGGAGGAGGACGAGCACGUCCAUCGCUACAUGGUUGCGUUAGAGGGCGGCAGGUUCUCCAAUACCUUGCAGUAUCUUCGGGGAUCUCACUUCAGCUAUGAUCCUGUGAGGGUUCCUUCUCUUUGGGUGUCCACCGCCCGCGCCACAGGAACCGCGAGUGUCCUAGAUUCUUCUGUAGUAUUCGAUCUUUAAUUAGCUAGCCAGUGAUGUACUAUUCAAUAUUAUAUAUUAUUUGAGACGAUCUAUUCGAGAUUAUAUCUAUUAUUCUAGACGAAGUAUUCGAGAUUAUAUCUAUUAUUCUAGACGAUGUAAUUUGAAUACUAAAUUGUUUUAUAUUUCUUUUGGAUUAGUUAAAUAAAAGCUAUGGCAGACAAUACCGACAGAGAGGGAGAACAGACCAUGUUUGAUAUGAUACGUGGGCCAGAUGAUGAUCAGAAUGAAGAAGAUUAUGAUGCUCCGAAUUUCUAAACAACACCGGAGAGGGUGAUAUGAUAUUCGAUCGCGACGACCGAAUUGAUGAAGUCAUGAACUACGAUUAUGACGAUGACGAAGAACAUGUUGAUCCUGAAACAACGACAAAGACCGGCGAGGUAUAUAUAUUUAUAUAAGCAGGUAUCUGGUGAUCAUUACAUGUUUUAAAUGACUUGAAGAUAUAUUAACGAAUCGAUCUUUGUUCUUUCAGCCAUCCAGAUCGAGCAAAUCUUCAGGCAAAAGGACGAAACGAGGCCCGAACAAAAAGUUGAAGGAGGGCAUAAAGUACAAUAUCGAGGCAGUCAGACCUAAUGGCGAACCAUUAGCGCCUAAGAAGAUUGCGGACAAGUUCGUUCAUCAGUGUGGAGUUCUUGUGAAGAACCAACUCCCGAUCUCCCUUCAAGAAUGGAGAGAGCCAGCAAAAGACAAAAGACAAAAAGGCAAAGAGGACGCUGCUCCACGUCUAGAUGUUACUUUUGUCGACAAGAAUCAAAAAGAUCUGCUUUGGGAUACUCUCAUGGAACAUUUCACCCUACCAGAUCAUUUUACAGAAGCAGAUGUGCAGAAAGUCAAGGACGCUGCUCUUAGAAAGAUGGCGGUUGCAUUCAAGAACCACAAGAAUCGUGAAUGGGACAAGUACGUCAAGGGAGGAAGGAAGACUCCAGUAUUCGAGGAAACACUAGAGAACCAACGUGCUCAUUGGGACGAUUUCGUGAAAUUCAAGGAUUCGGAAUUAGCUAAGGAACGGUCGAGAAUAAACAAGAAGAAUGCCGAAAAAAAGGAUAAGUUCCAUAAGCUGGGGCCAGGUGGCUAUGCGGUGGCAAUGCCUAAGUGGGAUAAGUCUGAGAAAGAGAUGGAGGAUGCAGGUGUCACUCCGGUUACUAAGAGCUGGCCCCCCAGGUGCAGGACUUGGUUCUAUGCGCAUGGGGGGAGUUGGACCCGAAGACAGGCAAUGUUUCAACGAAGGCAAGUCUGAAGGGAGCCGACGAUGCGAUACUUGUUGCAAUAGAAGAGGCACGAUCGGGGGUGUUCCAGCCCAACAGAGAGAACGACGAGCUUACGCGUGCCCUGGGAAAUCCUGAACACCCGGGAAGAACACGAGGCAUGGGCGCUAUUCCGUGGUAUGAGGGGUUUUCAGACUGGAACACCGACUACAGGACCCGUGCGAGAAAGAAGAUUGCAGAGGAGAAGAAGAGGAAGAUGGAGGAGGAGCAGAGGAAGCGGGACUAUGAACGCCAUCAAGGCCUAGAAGCAAGUCAAGCGCAAUUGGCAGUCAAAUUCCAGCGGCAGCAGGAGCAGAUCGACUCACUUACCCAGCAAAGGGGGUCUCAGCAGCUGCAGCAGCUAGCGGAUGAUCCAACAUUGGAUAGCAUCAACCCAUCCAUGCCGAGAAGCAGCGUGGGUUCGGCCACCUCGGACGACGCAAUGCUGGGUAGAUACCCCGUGGAUGACAUCACGGAGAACACUAACUGCGAGCUACACGUCAAAAUAACGAACAUAUCCAUCAAGGUGGCGGACGCCGUUGCUUUUACAAAUCCCCCCGAGGCAACCUUCCAUUGCAACCCGAUUCCAGCGGGCUAUGCUCGUGUCUUGGUUGAUGAGGUGGUGGACCCACCAUAUUGGGAGCUACAGCUUGACAUUCCUGGAGGUGACGACGAGCGCUUUCUCGGAGAGGCCAAACAUCGUAUCAUCCUAUGGAAAAAGGAUUGCAUCAUCUUUCGAAGGCCACCGACACCGUGUCAGCCGACUCCUCGUCGAAGUCCGCCACCGAGUCAGCAGUCUCCCGCUCCUGCAAGUCCACCAAGUCCGGCAAAGUGUCAGGCCACUCCUCCUCCAAGUCCGGCAAAGUGUCAGGCCACUCCUCCUCCUCCAAGUCCGCCACAACGUCAGACGUCCACUCCUCCUCCAAGUCCGGCACAACCUCAAGCCACUCCUCCUCCAAGUCCGGCACAGCUUCAGGCGGCCACUCCUCCUCAUCCAACUCAACCCCGUCAGCCGUCUCCGCCGCCUCAGCAAUUGCAGAAGAGACACCCCGCAGCUAUGGUGCGUAGCGGUACGAGUCAAGGUAGUACAGGAAGUACAGGCGGAGGCAAGCGAUAUAAAUAUGGUCCAAGCCUCACACCUCUUUCGCAGAGGACUUAUGACAGGUCCGAGGAGGAAAUCGCAGCCAUAUCGAAGGCCGAGGUGGAAGCCCAUUUUGCACCAAAACCGCCACCACCGCCAAGGGAGAAAGUGCCUGAGGAAACGAUUGACCACUUCAUUCGUAUGGCUCAACCACCAGCUCCCAAGCCUGUUGACACAGACUAUGAGCGCCACAUCAGGAAGUUAAAUCGAGCACGUCUACGUAAGGAGGCGAGCUCGGGAUCGAGCAAACAAGAAGCAGCUGUCAAAAAAUGCGGGAAAACCAUUCCCCAGCUGGGAGAACAGGCGGCGCAAUCGAUCCCCUCGCUUGUUGUGCCAACAACACGUGACAGUACGCGCGCCCAAUAUUAUUGUGGGCAAAUAGUUUACGUUCCUGAGGUGGGCAAUGUGGUAAUAACGGAGGAGCAUAUAAUGCAGGCUGAAGUUCUCAAAAUCACUGUUGGACAACUCCUCGAGAUCGAGCCCAGGCCUGUGCUUAGAGAGGAUGAAAUAAAACGGAAAUAUGUCCGGGGCCAACCUUUGGUCGAGCCAGACAAGGUCAAGAACCUCCCAACGAGAAUGUAUGAAUUGCAUCAAUGGUACAUGAACAUUACCAAGAUUUCAGAUCGAUUGUCCCUCAUGGUGAAUGUCAAGGAGGAUCAUUACUUCCAUGAGAAAGCUCUGUCCGUUGAGUAUUCUGAACUGUUUCAGUUAUACAAUUAAGACACACUCGACAAAUCUAUCGUCAGUUGCUAUUGUCUAUAAGUGAUUUCUUUCUAUAAUUUAAGUCUCAAGCUAGCUGUAGUGAUCCUUUUGAUCAAUCAUUACCUGUAAUUAUCCUCACUAUAUUCUUUUCUGUGGUAUUAUGCAAGAUGAAGAUGUAUGAAAUGAGAAAAGAUGGACGCUAUGGCAUUGGGUUCAUUGACCCAAACACCGUUAAUGAAUACACAUGGCGGAUAAAUCCACAUCAUCAAAAGGACAUAGAUGACAACCUGCGAGAGUUCUUGAAGCGCCUCAAAUACAAUGAAGAUAUACUACUUCCUUACAACUUCCAGUGAGUCACACUGUCUUGUACUACAAAUUCUCUGUUUUUGCCUACUAGCUAGCUACAUGUUUUUGCUUACAUAUGCCCGCUUAAUUAAGACAUGCAAACGUGUGUGCAUGCAGAUUUUACUGGGUCUUGUGUAUCAUUAAAAUUGAUGCCGGAACAGUUGAACUACUGGACUCACUACUCAAAGUUAAAACUGACUAUAACAUCUUGUUUGGGAUAGUCAACAGGUAAUUUCAAUCAUUAUUAACUAUAUAUCUCGGCCUAUUUAGUUUGUCAUUUCAUGAUAUGAACUAUUUAAUAACUCCUUUAUUCAUUUUCUUUGUCGGCGGGCAGGGCUUGGGCAAGGUUCAUCAGCGUCACGGAUGGCGAAUGGAAAAAAAAUCUUUAAUGGUUUCGACCCAAGGUAAGUAAUUAAGUAGUACUAGCUAGCUAGCUAGCUGCCAUCUCUUUAAUUAUUAUACUUGAUUAAUUAUUAUCUGAUCAAAUUCCAUUCUCGUAAAGGCCCUGAAGCAGGCGCAGGGGACUGAUCUGUGUGCAUUCUGCGUUUGCGAGAACAUUCGCAUGAUGGCGUCCGAAAGGAGCAGAUCUCAAAGACAGGAAUGGGUACGCUUGUCAGAACACUAUUCAUAAUUUUUACACCAUUAUCGAUAUCUAGUCACACAACUAAUACACAUGCAUAUUGAUCUCCUUCUUAACAGUUCAGAGAGGUGCGGGAGAAGCUUCUAGAAACGGAGCACGUAGAAGCACUUCAAGAGGAAAUAGCGGGAUUUUUGCUCGACCAGGUCAUAAAUCCGAAGGGAGAAUACUAUUGCCCGCUACCGCCCCCAUGAAAACCACUUCCAAUUGUCAUCGUGCUCCGAAGGCACCAAUUAGGCUAAUGCCACUGGCUCCGAAGGCAACAUGCAUAUGUAGAAGAAAUUGUAUAUAGCUAGCUAUACAUUUGUGUAUGUGCGAAUUAAUUAAUAUGGUGGUUUGUGAGACAUUGAUGAUAUAUAUAUGCAUGAUUGGUUCUACUAGAAAUUAUAUUUAUAUAUAUAUAUAUAUAUAUAUAUAUAUAUAUGCAUAACGUGUACAAUGUGUAGUAUCGUAAAAUACUAGCAAACAAAAAAGAAUUAAAAUGGAAACACAAAAUUAAAUAAAAAAGAAAUCAUAAAACUAAAAAAAAAAACCAAACCUUAUAGUACCGGUUGGUAUUACCAACCGGUACUAAAGGGCUCCAGCCCCCCGGAGCUGNNNNNNNNNNNNNNNNNNNNNNNNNNNNNNNNNNNNNNNNNNNNNNNNNNNNNNNNNNNNNNNNNNNNNNNNNNNNNNNNNNNNNNNNNNNNNNNNNNNNNNNNNNNNNNNNNNNNNNNNNNNNNNNNNNNNNNNNNNNNNNNNNNNNNNNNNNNNNNNNNNNNNNNNNNNNNNNNNNNNNNNNNNNNNNNNNNNNNNNNNNNNNNNNNNNNNNNNNNNNNNNNNNNNNNNNNNNNNNNNNNNNNNNNNNNNNNNNNNNNNNNNNNNNNNNNNNNNNNNNNNNNNNNNNNNNNNNNNNNNNNNNNNNNNNNNNNNNNNNNNNNNNNNNNNNNNNNNNNNNNNNNNNNNNNNNNNNNNNNNNNNNNNNNNNNNNNUUUAGUGCCGGUUAUGGAACCGGCACUAAAGGGCCUUACGAACCGGUGCUAUUGCCCGGUUCUGCACUAGUGUUUCUACUUGGUCAACCUAUGCACGGCUAGUAUUUCGAGCAGAGCUGCAAUCUUACUUGUGUUUAUGCACAUUUAGGAGCUAGUAGGGUCUUUUCUUCUUUUGAUUUUGUUCAUGUAAAACAAGAAGCCAAUGGAUUUUCUCUUCAGCAAGUUCCUUUUGUUAACUCUGUCAUGAACGAGUAGCCAGAAGAAAAACUUCGUGUCUGUUCCUAUUUGAACAUUUCCAAAGCUUUGUAAAUGCGUAAUGUAUUAAUCAUGUUUAUUGGCUUACAUAAUCUGUGGGAUCAUUUCUCUGUACUGCUAGGUAUCCGUUUGUUGAUGGUAAAACACUUGGAUGAAACAAUGUCACUUUCUUUCGUCCUAAAUGCUAAUUAGUUCUGGCUUGUUUUGAGUAGAGAAUGGCGUUAACAGAACAUCGGCAAUCAUAAUCUGCCCAGAAUUGUUUCAGCAGAUUUUCUGGUAAGAAGUUAUGUUUGCUUGUUGGUAUUUAUUCAUGUAUGUAGGUUCUAAUAUUGUGCAAUAAGCAAUGUCAAGCACUUCCCUUGGCAGUUUUGCUCAUAGUCUACUGGUGAGAAAUCCCUUUCGUUAUAUGAUGUCUGUAAUGUUGCACAUACGCUCUGUACAGUUCAGUGCAGCGUUGUUUCUGAAUUUCGAUUUUUGACGUGAUAUAACACUGAAGCAGCAAGUGGCGGUACUGACUCUGAAGCAGCACGACUCCGGUUUCAGCCUCAAGCAUCCAAGGCAAAACUGAAACUAGUGUUCAGGAACGAUUUUUUUUUUGUUUGGUGAUUUUGAGGGACAUAGAUGGUACUUCCUCCGUAAACUAAUAUAAGAGCAUUUAGAUUACUACUUUAGUGAUCUAAACGUUCUUAUAUUAGUUUACAUAGGGAGUAAGAAGGCACUAUAAGUGGAGUUUGUGGUCAUAAAAACUUGGUACAGUGGUGUCUUUUUUUAACGAAGGCACUGUCGGUUUACUAGGUAGCUAGGUCAGCAUGCAUUCUUUUGUGGCUUAGUUAGCCGAUGGCCAUACCAUUCUUAGUUGGUCAGUGGGGCUGCUUAGUUUAGCCCUUGUUUCCCCUUAGCAUAUUACUGACCGACCUGAUCUUUGCUGCUAAAUUAUUUUUGAGGCUGCCAACCAACGUGCAGCAUGCAUUAUUUCUUCCAUGGCAGUGGAUAUUCUUCACUGUUGGGCAGGAUCUCACAUUCAUUAUUGGAGUGAACUUGGUUAUUUCUCUGUGAUUAAUUAUCCAAAUUUGCACUGAAGUUUCUGUUGUCUGUACUCGUUUUUGCAUACGAAUGAUUUGUGCAACUGUGACCUCCAUGUAUCCAGUUGAGAGUCAACUCCGCAUAGUGUUUAAGCGAAGAUGGUCAUGUAGUAAAAGACAUGAUCAAUGAUUAUCACACAGCUUAAAUGUAAAUCCUCUGUUUGGAGCUGUGGGAAGAUAAGCAUAGUAUUGACAGUGAUUUAGUAAAUGAUCCCUUAUGUAACAUGUCAAAUUCUGCUAAUGAUAUGCGAUGGGUUUUUAUCAUUUAUGCCACCAGUUGUGUCCCACUACUUAGUUUUGCCCCUAGGAAUUUCAACUGCUCAAAAAAUGCCAUCGCUUCGUUAGACACAUGCUCAAAAAUGCCACUGGACAUCAUUAAUGUGAUCUCAAAUCUCUUUUGACAUGUUAUAAUGAUAUAAAUACCUAUGGACCAACAUGUCAGCUCUGUACUGUGGCUAUUUCGAUAUUUAACAUCCUGCUGUUGAACGCUUGUUUUACUAAGGUUCCCGUACCGCGGCUAUUCCGGCCUGGCGGCUGCUGAACGCUUGUGUUUUGAUCCAGCCGUGUCCCCUCAUUUCCAUGUGCUUUUGUUGUAGGUGGCAGAUAUGGAGGACCAACAUAGCUACUGUCUUACUGGAGUGCAUGUCUAUUCAUUUGAAACAGGGAGUUGGGUUCAUAAGGAGAAGAGAUGGUGCGCUACUAUUGAUGUCACUAAUGACCGGUCAACUGUUUAUCUUAAUGGUUAUCUGCAUUUCUGUGCCAUUGUUGAUGGUUCUGCUAGUCGUCUAGCUGCAGUGGACAAGGAGGGGGAAGCAAGGACCCGUGUUCCUGAUGGUCUGGAUGUUGGUUUUAUUCAGCUGUCACAGGGCUGCCUGCAUUAUGCUGGUUUUAACACAGAUGAUGAUGUUGUUGUUCGACUGCUAGUUUAUGUUCUUAAAGACUAUGAUCGCAAAGAAUGGAUACUGAAGCAUAGCGUCGAAACUUCGCAUUUGCUUGGAGGGCGACAUGUAGACCUUGAUGAGGACUUCGAUUGGAUUGCAAUUCAU